UGAUGACGUUCACCUUGACUCCUCCUACUUUACGAGUUUCAUUCAAACUGCGGUUCUGCCUAAACUUCACUUCCGGUAACGGUUUGUUGUUUAAAAGUUGUUAAAAGAGUCUAAUGUUUGAGAUAGAUACUCAAAGUUCGAGCCGAUACACCGCGGUGCCUUAUCAUCCCAAGAACCAAUGGAGCGUGGAUUAAGCUGAUGGCUACAUAAACAGACUGCUAAUCAAGGAUGCUAAUCGCUAUUUGGAGACGUUGUACUUAAUUUGGAGGAUUAUGGAGGAGGACGAUGAUAAAGAGGACUGUUUGAACUAGUGGCGCCUCUACUGUAAGUUUGCAUUUUUUUUGGCCUUUGUUGUUUUUUGUGCCAAUGCUUGUUUUAGCUUCAGCUAUUAACAGUUUCAAAACUAAGACAGGUGAUGUGAGUUGCCCAGCCCUCUUUAUCCAAACAGGCAUUUCCUGUCAACAGUGUUGUUCUUGCUGGCACAAAUAAAGCCACUUCUGCCUGUCAUGUAUGUUGGUUUAAUUUGACCCUUGUCUAAAGUGAAAUGCAUUUGCACAAAGAAUUAAGGUUUCACCAAACUGAUACUGUAUGUUAAGAAUUCUGUAGGCUCUCUUGUGUUAGUCUAGGUAUGGUAGUUGCUGGUACCAAAUCUGCUCUGUAACAGCCAAACUGGAAGCAGGGAAUAAGGGUGCUGAUUUAGCACUGUGAAAACCCCCUUAAGAGCCAUGUGCACAGUUUAGCAUCCAUGCAUACUGACUCAUAAGCCAUCGGGAUGGAUUGGAAUUGCAAUCAGUGUAGUUUGCAAAUCAGUUCCCGUGAAUACGAAAUUUGCAUGCAUGGACUAUAUACUACUGGCAUGGUUCUGGAUGUGAUUUCGAUUCAGAUGUCUGUAAUGUAACCUUGAAUAUUCAGAAUUAAAAUGGUGAUAAUUAGCAUAUGUUCUGUACAAACUUCACGUGAAUAUUCUAUUGAACCAGAUUCUUCAUUAUAUAUAGGAACUAUGACCAUGUGUACAUCUUGAAUUGAGAGGCAAAAGUGAUGUCAUUUGACCCCACAAGCAUCUAAUUUUUAAAGGAUUUCUGUAAACUAUUUUUUACUGUGGAGAAUGUAGUUUUGAUCUGAAAUUUUGCGUAGUUUUGCUUAAAAUGUUGAAACUCUUUGCCAUCAUCUGCAAACUAGCAGGUGUUGUGUGUUGCUGGUUAACCAGUAAAGUGAAAAAAACCCUCCAGAACAUCUUUUAAGAUCACAGCGGAUUGACUUUCUUGUGGUGACUGAUUUGAAUAUUAGUGCUGAAUACCAGUGCUAUUUGUAUGUGAAGAAAGGUGUUCAGCCCAGUGACCAGGAUACUGGAAUUUUCUUUCUGUGGUAACAUUAUUUCCUACUGAGGAGAAGGAGGGAUCAGCUGUGAAGUAGCGGCUCUGUUAUUGUCAUGUUAUCUCCAAAGCAGGUGUGCAGUGUGCACUGCUGGCUUUUUACUCUCCCUAACAGAGAUUUGAUUGACUUCUUGUGUUUGUCUUUGAAAAGUCCAUUGCUCAGUUUCUGCCGCGCUCUUCACAUCCUGCUUUCUGUUUCAGUGCCUCUCUCUCUCUCUCUUUCUCUCUCUCUCUCUCACAUACACACAAACAGGCAGCACAUGGCCAGCGCAAGUGAGUCACAGUGGUCUUGUAACAAGUGGCUCUUCUCUGGGAGAGUCCCUCCAUGUGUCCCUGUGAUUAGGGCCAAUCCCCUCGAGUGUAUCAGGUGCAUGACUGCUCCGGGCAACGUGAGGCUCCUCCUCAGCUCUAUUGUCUCUGAACUGAAUUAAAUCUAGUUUAUGCCAAAACAGACUUAAGUAAUGAUGUUAACCCCUUUCAAAUACUAGUGGUUUAUAAUUAAUUAAGCAUAAUGAAAACAAAUGAGUUUUUGUUGCUCUAACAAUACACAUCUUAAAUUUAAAAGUAGGUGUAUUCUAUGAGACGACCGUGGUUGGAUCCAGCUACCUGAGACAGAGAGUCUAGCUGACCACAAGCGACUACAGGCAUUGCCUUGUACACAAACUAAGGUGUAGUAUCUUAAAACAGAUUGGCUAUAUUACAGUUAAAAAAAACAAACACAUUUUCUACUGUACUUACUUUUUAAAACAAUCUGCAAAGUAAAGGCAACUUCUAACAGAGAUAACUGCUUCUUCUGACCCACACAAAACUCAGGAUAUUGACCAUGUGUCUUUUUCACUAUUGUCUAGAGCCAGGUUAGUUGGUUAAUGUUUAGGUCAGUAAAAUGCAAAAAGCUGCAGUUCCUCAAGUGUCCACUUGAGACUGUCUUGAAAUCCUUCUUGAAGCCCAUAUUAAAAUCCCAAUUUUUACAGCAUAAUUAUUGAUUAUAUUGAUUAAACAAUUUUGAUUAUAUGACGGCUAGAGGUUCUUCAUAAUUAGAUAAUACUCAUGGGAUGGCAAAGUUGACAGACAGCAGGUUGUGUUGUAGCCAUUUGCAAGGGGAUGAAAUUCAAGCGGUCAUUAAAACAGAUAAGCCAUUUCAAAUCAUUACAAUUCAGUAUCCCAGCACAUCAGGUAGCCUGAAGUAGCUUACGGUAUGAUCCAGCAGAGGGUGCGUUCACCGUAACCUAGCUAAAUAAGAUGCCAUUUGUUAUCUGUGCUCGUUUACAUCCAGGUAAUACAUUUCUAUAACACGUAGCUACACGUAACCCGUAGCUACUGACUGAACAGUCGGGCGAUUAUUAAGACAUUUCACACAAAGCCAAAAAUGCCAACAUUGGUGUUCUUUUGAGACACAAAGUCAGGAGGUGAAAGUCUAUAUUUCGCAGAUGCAUUUGGUUGGGCAGAAAUGUUUGACUGACCCAGCAGAGGUCAAAAUGACAUAUGCCCAAAAUCCUUUGGGUUCUCUGCAGAGGAGCUGCUGUUUACAGUAACCUGGUUACAUGAUAAUUAAUAUUUGUUCAUCCUAUUACUGUAUAAAUGUAGCAGCUCAUAUUCAUGUCACCAGGAGCAAGUACUGUAUAAUAAAUCUGCAAAUAUCACGCCUCCAAGUGUACAAUACAGUGUCAUUUCAUGGUCAUGAAUGCAAUAAUUACUGUGCAGCAGUAAUAACAGACUAGAGGUGUAGUACUUAAGCCUGUUCCCUCCAGCACAUGUUCACAGACAUGCAAACACACCUCACACACCCACUAUCAACUGUAACAAUAGCUGAGCGUGCAGUGCACUCCGCCUAGUAGACACAAGCCAGGUGUAUCUGUCCUCCACCCUGUUUGCUUUUUCAGACACACUCCACACACCCUUUACCAGAAGAGUGUGUCCCAGAGUGGAGCAGAACGUGGUGGUGUGGUCACGGAGCUGCUGGCUGGCAGGUUUAAUGCUGACAAAGGUGUGUUGGUUAACAAGACUGGGCCUGCUGAAGGCCUGUUAUCCCUGUAAAGGAGCCAUUAAUGUCAGGCAAUAGGAGAGAGAAUUGCUGAGGUAGCAUUAACGGUGUGGAUGUGAAUAUUAAAGCUACAUAAGUAAGUCAUAAAAGAAGGGUUCAGAUCAUCAAAAGGCUUGUAUUAAAUCAGUACUGUCAUGCCAGGGCUCAUAGGGUCUCUGCAUUUGCUCCUACCCUCUUUGUUUGCGCUGAAAAAAUUCAGCCCAGUGAUGAGAGGCGAUAUUUGAAGUCUGGUUUGUGAAGCAGAAACUAACAAGACUCAGUCCUGUCUAUCUUUGAAUACUUUUUUUAAACUCAUCUUAUCAUAAUUUCUCUUUGUUAUGCAAUAAUUUCAGUCUCCACCAACUGGUAUUUCACAUUUGAGUGCCAUUUAGAAUUUCACAAAAUAGUGCCAACAGCCGGUAAUAUUUAGGAAUACAAUAAAGGCUGUGGUUGGUCACCUAUUGGGAUGUUAGAAACCGACUAUUCUUAGUCAUUGGCAUGGAAAUUUUGAUUUGUGCAAACAGGUCAUGUAGAAAACUUUCAAAAUUGAGUGCAAUCUAGUUAACACGGCCAAGUACACACGGUCGAAGGAAGACAGUGUAAGGUUAGUUUGUUGAAUGUGGCUAACAUUAGUAGAGCUAGCACCACCAGCCUUCAGUCAACACGCCAAGUUAAGUAGUUUUAAACACAACUUAAUCUCUAUUUCCCAGAUCCAAACACUGACAAAUCGCUGUCAUCCGUGCUUGUUUAUAUGCAGGUAGAACAUUACCACAUGAGAUGGAAAUCUAGAACCAGUUCCAGAUGUGCACUGGUUCCAAAGAGUUUGAGUCAUCAGCGUCAUUUGCCUUCAUGUGUAGAGAUUUCGUAUCAUUGCUUUGUUUCAUGUGCCUUACAAAACAAUCUCGUCUUGUGUUGUAAGAGAGAGCCAGAGCGAACACAACCAAGGAGGCAAGUCAUUGGGGUCUGAACUACUGUCAUCCAUGGCACAAUAUCAUUGUGCUUGUAAUAUCAGCUUAAUAAAGUGAACGGUGUGUGAUACGCCAACACGAUACGCCGGCAUAUCUGUUGUUCAUCUAAGCAUCAAAUUUUCAACCUCAAAUAUUCAUGAAAGCAGGAACCUGACAAGCCAUGAUUCUUGACCGUUUGCUGGGUGUGAGACCAGAUCUUAAUGAACCUCAAUACAUGCCAAAAAAAAUAGUCAACCACACCUUCAACCUUGCACAACUUCCCGAUUUUUUCAGUCCACGCAUACUCGAACACACCCAGUCAGUCUUCUCCCUUAUUCUCUAGCUCAGUCUUCUGCAGCCAGCUGAGCCUAAUUGACGCCCUUCCUAAUGACCUAAAUUACAGUCGGGCUUUGAGGUCGGAGAGAGGGUUGUCAACAAGUGUGUCCAGAGUGAAGCUGCGGCCCUUCACCCACAGUGACACUUUACCUGACUCAGCAGCACACAGCGGCCUGUCCUCUGUGAUCAACAUGCUGCAUCUCGCUGGGCUCUAAUCCCACUGUUAACCCUGUCCCUGCUGAGGGUGAGGACACUCAGGGGGGAGGGGUGGGGGGUUUGUUUCUUUGACUGUUUUGUCCUUCCUCAUUCUCAUCAGGAUGCAACUAAUCAGACACGCAGAACAACAAAUUAGGCCCACACACACACAGUGCAAAAAACACACGCAAACACAAUGCAGGCAUCUGCAUACAUUAUCCUGCUUACAAUGUCAUUCCACUGGCCGCACAUAAUGCACGGCAAAUCAAACCAAAUUAAAUUUUACAAUCACAAGCAAGGUUGGAAUGAAAAUGAAAGAUGUUCUGGAUUUAGGCCUCAACAUGUUUCUCUCUGCUGCAAAGUAUAAUCCUGCAGAAGUGUUUCAAAAAGGCUCACAUUUGCAUUUCUUUCAUCCUGUGUUCAACAUUUGGGGCCAAAAUGGAGAGCAGAUUUUCACUCAGGAGUUGUAUAAUUAUGUAUGGUGGAUCCUUGGAUGAUAUUUUAAAAAGCUGGUUUCUUGCUGAUUGGAUUUUGGGCUGAAAUCUAAAUUGUGGUUUACAAGAGCCCACUCGGGGCUGGUUUCAGAAGCCAAGGAAUCCCCAUCAACAUGCACGCUAAUUUUAGUGUUUUCCCACACAUGGAUUAUACUUGUACGAGAUCCUCAUUCAAGUUCCAUGUUAAAAAUAAUCUCCCAUCAAUCUCUGCUCCUGGUGUCAGCUUACAUUCAGCACCUGUUUUAGUGUUUUCAUGUACAUCAAGUGAAAAGUCAGCUGUACUGUUGGUUUAGGGAUGCACAAUAUAAGAUUUUUUCUAAUAAUUAUAUGAGCUGAUAACAAUGAGCUGAUAUUUCAAAGCUCAUUAACCAUAGUGAUAUUAACAGGAAUAUUGAGAUUGAUAAGAUACCAUUGUCCGUACCUAUUGAUAAUGGUAUCAGUAUCCAUGAUACCAAUGGUUGUGUUUGCUCUGGCUCUCUGUUACAACACAAGACGAGAUUGUUUUGUAAGGCACAUGAAACUCAAUGGCACAGUAUCAAUGAUAACUUUCUCCUCCUCAAUGACGACACCUCUGCCAACCUUGAUUUUAUUUUUCCAUUACCAUAUAUUUGACUUCAUGUAAGCAAUUAAUUUGAUACUAAUAGAUACUUGGUAAAUGAGACGAUAUGAUAUAUCACCAGACAAAAUACUGCAAUACUAUGCUGUAUUGAUAGUUUCUCCCACCCCUCGUAUGUGCUGCAGAUGUAGACACACAGGUAGUAAAUAUUCUACACAGUCUGUCCCAUUAAUGACGAAAAUAACUGAGGGUUUGUGUCAAGCUUUAUGUUAGAGUUUUUGUGACAUAGCAGCAUGGCCUUACAUUUUACAGUCACGUAGACUGGGCACUAUCAGCCUCUGGUCUUGUAGCAUUAUGAUAUUUGAAAUGUGUAUCACUUGAUAUCUCCAAAUAUUUUUUUUCUUUGUUUUUUUUUUUUUUGUGGAACUCUUGUUGUCUGUUUCAUGUUUUCCUCUUUACUUAUAGUUUUUUUUUCUCGUAGUUGCAUUCUUCUGGGAUUUGUGUCUACAUGAGCUCACUUACAGCUGGUUGCCCACUUGUUGCUCAACAGUCAGUCUUUAGCUGUGUCAGCACAAAGCUGUAGUGGACUGAUCUAUUCAGACAUCACCUAUAGUGACUGAACUGGACUGAGGUAAACUAACUGUCCCCUCGGCUCACACACACACACAGCUGAUUGAAAGGUCACUACUCUGACUGACACACAAUGAGACACAGUUAGCUGGUGACCAGAGACGGUGAAAGCUGCUGACCCCACAUGUUGUCUCCUCUCUUAAAGAUCCGUCAGUCAGUGAGAACGUGUGCUGAACUUGUCAGGUCUCUGAUCUCUGUUCAGGGAAACCAGAGCGCUGAUUGAGAGGCUCAGUCCCACUCUGAGAACAGACUUGCAGUUCUUUUGAAGCUGCGAUGGCUAUCUCAAGGUCAACACACAUUAAAAGGGUGUAGUUGCAGCACAAAGAGAUGUGCACACAAAGAAGUGAUAGCACCUGUGGUUUUGGAGAUAAUUACAAGCAGGUUUUUAGCGUUCAAGGUGUUUGAAGAGGGAGUUGUCAUGUAGGAUUAGAGCCUCGUUGAAGCUUUUACUCCCACAACCUUUCAACUCUGUUUGUAAGGUCAACCUGAAUUCCUUCCUGUAAGACGCCUCCAGCGCUACUCUCCCUAACCACAGAGAGGUCACUGAUCUCACUCCCUCAGCAGCACACAGUCACACCUCUGUUACUUGUAACUGUGGGAUAACUGGCCUGUCAUCACCCUGGAUUAUACUGUCUCAUAUGAUGAAAUCUCUAUAAGUGACUAACCUGAGAAAUCUGGUGAAGGUCAAAAGUUCAAUGCAGAAAUCAAAGAUAACAUAUACAGUAGUUUCUAGUUUUAAAAGGAAAGACGUCAUAUUGGGUUUGUCCUCAGCUAUCAGAUGGUUUCUGCUGUUACAACUAGCUGAAACAAGACCAAUAUUCAUAAAGACAUGCAAAACAUGGUAAAUGCUUUAUUUCUUUAAUUUGGGAAAAUAAACUUUUUUUUUUUUUUUUACAACCCAGAGUCAACAAAGUUGGGAAGCCGCAUAAAAUGUUUAUUAAACAAUAGGAUUUGAUGGUUUGCAAAUCAUUUAAACCAUAUUUAAUUAAGAAAUAGUGUGAAGACAAGACAAUAUUGCAAAUUUUGGACUGGAAAAUUUGAAAAAUAUAUGCGCUACAAACAAACGGCUGCUGGAAGAGAGUAGGUGAGUUGUGUUUAGUCUCUUUGCCAAAGAAAUUAGGCAAAGCUAAAAAGAUGUUUGGUGGCUAGUACUAUGGCUGGGACCCUACAUGUACUGUUGAUGAAGUUAGGUGCUGUUCUGAGCAUUAUUUGUGGCUAUAGAGUAGUGCUUUGGUUGAGUGUGUGGCUCUCUGUGUUGUUAUCGUGCAGCCGUUACUAAAGUUGUAACUAGAGAAGCAAGCGGUCGGCAACAUUAAUCUCUCGAGGGGGUGUCUAACUCGAUGUUACAAUGUGUUUGACCCUAAAUUAAUUUUGCACCAGAAUAUCCCUUUAAGAGCAGAGUAUACAUCAUCCAUGAUUUCCAAAUGAAUUGAAUAUUUUGAUUUGUCAAACCACAUUUUCCGCUUCAUCUCAGUCUAUCUUUGAUGAGUUCCAGCCUUGAUCAUGUUUAUAUGGUUUCAGUCCCCUGAUAUUACCAUUUUUUGACAGUGUAAUUCUGUAGUAAAUACGGAUCUCACAUGAACACUGAACACUGAACGCCUUGUGAUCACCGUGAACCCUACAGGCACGAUCUCAGAGGUAGACAGGAGUGGAUGAUGACAUCAUCAUGACAUCAAUAAACAGCUGUGAGAAAAUAAACACAGGGAAGAAACUCGCUGUCUGAAAGUCAGAAUACAGCCAGCAUCAUCAGACCUGAGGGGGUCAGAGGUCAGCUCAAGUGACUUAUUCAGUGACUUGCAUUUAACAGUCAGACCAUACAAUGAUUCACACACUUAUUAAAUAGUGGCUUAUCACUGGAUGUUUCAUUUAUUUUGCUCACACUGAUGCCCUGUGUUUUGUUUUGUAAUGCCCUUUUUGGGAGUCAUAAAUGUUUUUAAUAGUCCUCAGGCCAAACAAACAGCUUAUGAAAUUUUCCGAGCAGCUCAAAACAGUGCGAUCUAUUAAAAUCUCUUCAGGAAACAUUAAACUAAACAGCACAUUGGAAGUGAUCCUGUAAUCCCCUUUAGAUUAACAAUGAAUUAAUUUGGCUGUCAGUUAAUCCAGACUUCAGUGGUGCAAUUCGGUGGUAUAAAAAGCCUGGGUAUGAUGCAAAACAAAGGCUUAUCUGUUUCAGAGGCAAGUGCUCCCUGAAUUUACACCCUCCCCCGCACUGCUAACCAACUUUCAAACGUCCGCCUCACAUAAUUAAACCCGCUCGCAGGAUUGGCCCCUUCGGAGAGGGAUGAAACAAUCCCACAGACAAACAUUAACCCAGGGUCUGACCCCGCAGCCUGUCAAGAAGAUGAACGUCUGGGACUGGAGGGAAAAAAAGAAAACAGCAUACCAAUUCCCGUAAACCGGUAAGGGGGGAGGGAGGGGGAUUUUGGGAAGUUUGGUGAGUCAUCACUUUUUCUUUUUCUCCCGGCUCUCCCCCCUUUGGCAAAUACCUCCACGGCAGAUUGCCUCGUCAUGCUUUCAACGGGCCCUCUUGACGAGGAGCGGUACAGCCUGAGUCGCAGCUGUCUGCACGGCUGUCUCCUUCAUAAGCUCUCUUUGUCGUAUGGCCCUCUUUGAAACCUGAGCAGAUAACAAGUUAAGACUUCAGCAUGAAUAAAGAAUAAGCCUGCAGUGACUUGAACCGCUGCUGGCUCGCAGCCUCCGUUUGUCACUCAGGUUUGUUCUUGUGAGCGUGCAUGUGUUAAACAGUUUGUGCGAUCGGGUCAAAUACAGUGGGUGAGAUGAGUCAGUGGAUAUCUGCUACCAUGCUGAGAAUUUAUUACUCGCUAACUUCAUCUUGUGUGACAAUAACAUGCUGACGAAUGCUUGUAAAAUGAUGACAGAGCUCAAAUUUAGGAGCUUUUACAGCAGUUUUGGGAGCAGCCCAUAAUGGAAAGUGCUUAAACUUUCAUAGAGAAAACCGCAGAUUUAACUACUUUACUUUCUUCUCCUAUUUUUGUGUCAGCUCUUUUGUGUGACCACUCAUUGGUCCUUUAAGCACUUUGUUCCACUAACUGAUCGUCGACAUCAUUUUGUGGUCAGGGACUCUCCCCAGAGGGCCCCCUGCACACCGCACAACAACACCCUCCGAUGUCCCAUUAGGGGCCCUCAGCUGCAGGGGCCGAGCUACUCUUUCCACAGUUCACUGCAACACACACUCAGGAUAUUUAUCACUCUUUAAUGACAGACCCCACAAAGGGUGAUGUCACUGACUGCAGCACAACCACGUACAACAAAAGGCCGGCUGCCCCGCUCUCCUCUCAGUCAGACCGCAGUGACCUCGCAUGAUUGAUAGGUCUCAGUCUAAGCGGGCCCUUUGUGCCCUUUCUGCCUGUCGUGCGGCCUGUCGUGGUCUGUGGCACAUGAGGCCUCGGUGUGGCUGUUGCUCCAGAUGACUAAGAGUGAGUAAUCAAAACAGUCGCAGAACCCAGCCUGCCUCACAAAGAUGGUUGUUACCAUUAAAAUGUCAUCGAGCUCCUGAUAUAAAGCAGUCUUUGCUCCUGCUGAUGAGCGUCUCUCGCUUUCUCAGCUGUGGUAGACGGUCGGCCUGUUUGUGUUUUGUCUGUGUGCACUUAGUUAAAAGCAGUUCAUGCACACAGUCUGACAGAAGUGGCUUAAAAUAUGAGUGUGUAGGUGUGUCUACCCUCUGAUUUAAAAAGUCAUGUAUUGGCUUUACUGGCUGUGUGACACAUUAAGUUGUUCUUUACCAAAUCCAGUUUUGUUAUUGUCUCUAGUUCUGCCCUAAAUAAGGUGUAGGGAGGCUGCUAAAGGUGAUCCAUUUCAAAUUUAGGAUUUAAAUUCAGGUCAGUCGACUCGUCUAAGAAAACAAGGUAAGAAAGAUAAGAAACAAGGUAAGAAAACAUUGAAAAAAAGCCCAAACUGAUCCUCAUUUAUUUAAAGCUGCUCUGAGGAACUUUUGGUUUGUGUUAAUCUUAGCGCCCCUUCUGGACAACGUAAUACCUCUUUCUCUCGUUUUGUACACAUUAAAGUAAUGUUUGCUAGACAAAACUUAUUCCUUUUCAUGUUAAACAUAGGGAUGUACCGAUACGCAUUUUGAACUCCGAUACCGAUACAGAUAUCUUUAACCCUACUAAACAUAAACACAGGUACUGUCAUGAGGAGGAGGAGGAGCUGUGUUAGCAUGCUUGACAGAGUGGGAUCACAGCAUCUACAAACACUGUGUUGGUUUGAGAAGUGUGGCUAAUACCAGCAGAGCCAGCAGCUAUGGUUGGGCGAUAUGGCUUAAAAGUAAAAUUUCUUCUUUUUUUAAAUUUUUUCACACGGAGCUUAUUGAACAAUUUUAAUUGAGGCCCUUAAUCUUGUGACUGUGAAAGUAGUAACAGAAAACCUGUUCUUAAUCCCUGGGUGAUAAGCUCAGCUUUGUGGUUAUUUGUAAAUAAGUUGUUUGGAGGCAGACACUUUGCAGAGCCUGAUCAUUGUUUAUUAAAUUCAGCUGUCAAACUCAUGUAAGGCUGCAUGGUUCCACUGGACCAUGACUUUUGUGAGGGAAUAAAACUUAAUCCUCCAGCUCUCUGGUUAGCAGCACAAUCAAAGUAAAUACUUGUUGUUUGGUAGCACAUAACUGGGGUUAAUCGUUUGAAGCAUGUGGAUAAACCAUAGACUGUAUAUACUAUGGACAACUUGGUUAUGCCCUCCACCAGUAUAUGGAUUUAAAUCCGAAAAGCUCUUGGUAUUUCCGCGUUUUUUCUCCAUUUUCCUAAUACCAACAUUGCGCAGUAGGGUUGUACUCACUCCACCACUUGCACAGUGGCAUUGUGCGCAUUUGGUGGGAGAGUCGCCAAGAGUCGCUGUGAUGACGCUCGGCUCAAACAGCGUAUCCCCCACGUGAGCUGCGCAAUCUUCGUACACCCAUAGGCUGUAUCAAGUGCCAAUCAUAGAAAACAUGAACCCCCUAAUAACUUUUAAAAACGAGGACUUCAGCACAAACCAGUCUUACAGUAACUACAUGUCAACAUUGCAAGCAGGGGUGAGAAAAAAUUAUAUUCUGUGUAAUAAAUUUCUAAAGUUUGUCCACAACUCCAUAGGGAUUGCUGGAGGAGGCGGGAUUUAAAACCUAUACUGCAGCCCGUCACCAGAGGGUGCUGUUCUCAGGGUGGCUUCACCGAGCGAGGAGGCAGACGGCGUCCAUUCUAUAUACAGUCUAUGGGAUAAACCCAGACUUUGCCAUAGUAUAAAUAGGCAUAUAGAUAGGGGUUGGUAAUAAGAUGUGAUUGCAUAGUCAUGAUUUAGUUAUCCACUUUUUAGCUAUUUAUCCAGAAUAGUUUAAUUGUGUUUUUCUGCUAUUUGUAAUUGUUGGUUUUGUCUAAAAUAUGUAGUACCUGUGACAAACAAUCCAGCCACCCCAUCGCUCCCCCCACUCACAAAUCCUUGGGAAAAUGACUUGUUUUUCUUUGGUGAGCUGGCAAUAACAGUUUCUAUUUAAGUAAACAUCUUUCUGUGACUGUACUGCCAUCCAAAGUUUUUUUCUGUAUCAUUUCAUACUCUAGUCUUCGUAUCAGAAGCUGCACCUGGAAGAAAAAAAUGGUAUCAGGACAUCUCCAGUGUCACCUGUCAAACUCAGUUUGUUGGCCUGCCUGUAUGUGUCUUGAUACGUUUGUCCACCAUCAGUCAUAAACACACAUAGUGUUCAUAACUGUGAGUGUGGUGUGGUGCCCCUGUUUUACCUCAUACCUCUCUUUUCUUCAAGAGUGUGUGCUUCACUGUUAUCACAAAAAAACAGAUAAGAAAGAAUCCUCACAAAACUUACCCCAAACAUGUGACUUCCUCUAACCACUGAGAGGGAAAAAUUCACUUUGUAUCAGUGGAAAAUUCUUAAAACAACUUCCCAUCUGUCUGCAACCACAGUUUGUCCACAAGCAUAUAAACACACACACUCUCACACACUCAUACACACACAUUAAUAAGGCUGUAUUAAGUUAAAAGCAUUGAUCCCAUCUCGCUGCAAUUACACACAAGCUCCUUUCAGUUUCCAGUAAAGGUAAAUAACUCCAGCAGCAUUUCUCUGAAUGUGCUCCCUUGUGCAUAAACACACAUAUUUAACUAAUGCACUCAUCAAAGUCCUUCCGUCUGAAAUGUAAAAAAAACCCCGACAACCUUCACUGUGAUUUAUGAAAAACAAAAUCCACUGCUUCUUCAAACCCUUGCCUGUGGUUUUCCUUCAAACGGGUGCUUUGCUAGCUGACUCACUGGCUGAAGUACAGCGGAUUUCCACUUCCACUUUGGCCCGGUCGUCUGAAAUGGUAAAGAAAAAACAGCAAGGCGGGGAAGAGUAACGGAGGGAAGGAGGAGAUGGAGAUCUGGAAGCCAUUAGAAGCUGGCAGCUGUGUGCUGGAGUGGCUGAUUCAGAGGAGGAGGGAGAAAAAGAAGGAGAGAGGGAGUAUAUGGCAUAUGAUUGCCAUAAUGAAUUUAAUAUCUGUGCAUGUGCAGGUCAUUAAUGCAGAGCCUUGUGAUUAAGCAGCGGGGAAGAUAAAGAAUAUCAAAAGUCAUUUUCUAAAGGCAGUCGUUGCUCUUUACAACUCCCACUGCAUUUCCUCUGUGGAGCAAUAAGGUCUUAUCUGCUUGUUUAUCCAUCCUUUUAUCUGUUUUCUAUUUAUUCCACACUUCCUUCCUCUCUUGGUAAGUAUGUACCACACAAACAGAUACGCACACACGCGCUCACACACCAACGCAUGUCUCUACUUUGAAUCCCCUCGAGGAUCAGAGCUGAAAAGAGAACUUAAGAAAUUCAGCCAGCCACAAAGAGAUGUAAAACUGACCAUUGGUUAAGGCCCUCCCCCAAACAUAAACAAAAUGUAGCCUAGCAACCAUAACUAUUAUAUAGUUAUAUAGAGUAUAUCUUCCAUUAUCACAUGGCUGUAAUACAUAUCAUAGUAACAGUCUGACAAUCCUGACAAUCCUUGAUAGCUGAUGAUUUAUCAUCAACACUUCGGUGUUUCAAAAUUUACUAGUUGUCGCCUUUAAGCACCAUCCUCAGUGUGGUAAAUUUCACUGUUGUAUUCAACGCCUCUGGCAUUUUCUGUUAUCAUCCCAUAAACAAAUUGUGUUAAAAUAACUGGAUGUCUUUCUCCACCCUGAUGAGAGUGUAGUUAUACUGCGUUCCAGUUGUACUCAGAAGUCAGAAUAUCCGAGCUCCGAGUCAGAAAACUCAUCUGGAACCCCCCCGAAAGCUCUUGUAAUGUUUUAUUUAUUAGCACUUCUGUUUUGUUUUUCAGAAAGUGGUAUAUGUUGUACUGCCCAACGUCUAACUGUGAACACGGUGCUAUGGUGUUUGUAAGAGUAAAAUACUGUGUAGCUAACAACAAAUAACAACCGCUGACGACUGCUAACAACAGCUGACAACAGCUAACGACAGCUGACAAUUGUAAACAAUAGCUAACAACGGCUAACAGUCAGCGUCCAUCUUGGUUUUCCGACCGGUUUCCUGAAAUGCCGUCAACUCAGGUGUAGUGUCAUUCCCAGCUCCAUUAUCUUACUUCCGAGGUAACUGGAACACAGCAUUAGCCCUCCAGAGUCUGUGGUAGUACUUACAGUCUGUUCUUCAUAGCAACAGUGUGCUACCAAGAAAUAGCAGACUGUUUCUUUAAGUGCUGCUAAGUAAUGACAAGGCUUAAAAUUGGGGGUAUUUUGAUUAGGUAUUCUCCCAAAGUUUAAUCCAUGUGACCUGCAUGCUUCAUGUAAGCUUGACCCUAAGCACAUGCACCCUCUGGCAGAUGCAUAAAUUAGAUAUUUAUUUUAAUACCAAGCUUAAUGGAUGUAUAAGGGUUGUAGCGAUUUCACUGUUUAAAACAUACAGGUGUAUUUUUGUGUGUAGAAGGGGCAUGAAUGAAAUGACAAGUGUUACACGAUAAAAUACAAAAAGGUAUGUUGUAGAUGAUAAUGAACAUAAGACAGUCUGAUACUGAAAGUAGUAUUGCAUGUGAUACUGAAGGUAAUCCAUUCCAACAUUGAAGAUUGAUGUUGCACUAUUAUGAACACAAGAAAGUUUGCACAUAAGAUGGCCAAUACUGAAGAGAUGAUGCUGGAAAUAAAAUCACCAUAAAUUAUAAUCUCACUAUAAUAAAUGUGAAUACAAACUUAUAACUCAUAGUCUUCUUUCAAAGUGGGAGUUAAUGAAUUGACUGUUGCAGGAGCAUAGUAAACACUAUUGUGCAAUGAUGUACAUCACGUAGAGUGGGGUCUGUCCCUGACCUUUUAGAUUUUCAUGACUCGACUCAUUUUAACUUGACUUGUUAUUGCUUGGUUGAUUUCUGACAAAACUCACCAAUCAAAACAUUAGCUUCCUCCACUCUGCUCCCUGCUCCUCCCCUUUCCUCCUUGUUUUCAAUGUUGUUCUCCUCACUCUCUCUCUUGUGUCAUCUCUGGUGGUCUGAAAUAAUCACUUAGGUGGUCUGACUCCCGUGUGGGCCUCUAGGUCGACAAGGGGGAACACAGACAUUAACCGGGUCACAGAACACACACAGAAAGAGAAAGAGAGAGGGGUUUUUACCUGGCAUGAGUCACUUUGAUCACAGAGAACAACAGUCAUCCUUGUUAGACCCCUGACAGAUUGAAAACAACAUUCACCUCUUAAACUUUAUACUGAAAGCUUGUGGCUUGAAGCAGACACUGUGCCGUAGUUUUUACUCACAGAGAAUCUUGCAAAAAGAAAGUGAGAAAAGCGAAACAGGUUGACACAGAAAUGUUUCUCAGUUUGUUCAAGGCUGUUUGUGAAAUUUCUCUUUGGUUUGUCGUAAAGCCCAAACUCUCCCCAACUAAUACUAUCAGUUACUGUUAUUGGUAAACAGCAAACUGCUCUAUUUUUCUAUGUCUAUGAUUGACUGGUGGAAAUUUUUAUGUUAAUUUCAUAAUUGAACCAGGCCUACACCAGACAGGAGAAAGAACUCAUCAUUGUGGUAUGAUGCUCAAUAUUAUGCUCAAAAGGUCUGAGGGUCCUGGGCUGUUGCGCAUUUUGGUUUCCAGUGGCUUUACAAACAAAUAUUGAAAUAGAAAAAGAAUCAAAAGAAAAUGGACUGAAAUGAAGACAGUCUCCUCAGCUCGUAUUGUUAUUUUUUUCUGUUUCUGGAUUUGAUCACAAAGCCAGACUAAGUGCAGCUCUCUCAUCUGUCGAUAUUUAGCUCCCACUGUUAGAAAUCAUUCAUAGGCUACACUAAAACAGCUCAACACUACACACCAGGACCUUUUCCAUGAUUUAGAGUAGUUUUAGAUUUCAAUGCUUUUGUAAUAAAUAGCAUCCAAUAAUUGAUCUUAUGUUUUACCCGAUACAAAAGGCUUCAAAAACUCAAAGGACAUCUUUUCAUAACUGGUAUUUCAACUUGAGUACUUUUUGGAUGAUGUAAGCUUUCAGAAGGACUAAAAAUGCGUAGGUUGUCCAUUGACUCUAAGAACAACCCAUUUAGUAACUCAGUAGAUACUGAGCUAACAGGCUAACAUUCUGCUACAGCCAGAGAGAUGACAUGUUUAUUAGCCAACAUUAGUAUUCAGCUAGCAAAUAGUAACCAUAUGGUCCUGUAAUUGCCCUCAGCUAGUUUGCUGUACGUUAAGUGAGGUAAUAUGGUUUACUUGUCAAAAAGUAAAGUGAGGUAUCUGUUAACAAAGACGUCCUUUUUGAUUAUAAUUACUUUGUUAAUUCUGUUGAAGUUAAUGGAAGUAGUUAAGUAGCUGUUAAGUACAUAUUGUCAAUAAUGCAUUAAUAUGCAAUUGCAAGAUGCAAACAGGAGAACUACAUUUUUUUCACAAAGCCUAUUGGAUUAGGAAAGCUAAGUGUUAAAGUUAGAAAUAGCCUGAUUUUGAUAUUUUUUUUUAAAGGUUGAUACCAAUACUGAUUAUAAUAGAUUUUGAGAUCAAUAAUAGAUAACAUAUUUUGGAAUUGAUGUGCAUUUAUAAAAGGAAGGGGUUCACAAACCUGAAUGAUAAUAUUUCAUUCCAGGACUCAUCAUUUUCCUAUGUUUAGAUGCUUGAUAAUACAAUAUAAAUUUACUGAAAGCAAGCUUGCAAUAUCUUCAACAUACUAAUAACUGUAAUCAGUCAACAAGCAAUUCGUGUCUUUAGUUCUAUUUGAUGUGUGACAAACAAGUCAGGGAGAAAGUUGUUGAACAAUAAUGAUAGCUGUUGAGCAACUUUGUCACGAGUUAUGAAAUAUGCGGGGUUAAAAGAGCGACAUAAAUUUGUGUCACUGGGGAGCAUUUGGGGCGAAAGAAGAAAGAGUUAUGACCGAGUUGUAUUGAGUAAGCGUGCAACAAAGACCUACUUUCUGAAGGCUAGCAUUUAUGCAGAUGAGGCGCAUGAAAUGGCUCUGAUCAACCCCCAAAGCCUUGAGUGAUUUUACAUAUUCUUUGUUUUUCAUAACAAUAAUUCAUGACCUCUUUUAAAGCCAAAAAUAAUGUACAAGACAAAAAAGUGUUUCCACGCACGUCAUUGCGGUAACCAUAUUUUAGCUGAUUUGAAACUGGUUGAAAGGAGGUCUUAGAUGUUUUAACCUUUUUGAUGUUGAUGUCCUAUUCAGUGCUCACUCACUCAACAUUUUCCACUAACUACUCUCAAUAAUGUGUCCAGAAAUCUGUUUACAUUUUAGCCCGCAGUUAGAGAAAAAGAGGAACUAAAACCUGCUAAAAGAGAAGUGAGACAACUCUGAGGGGUGUAAGGACACAGAGAAGUGUAGAGUAGUUUGAGGAAGACGAAGUUAAGGCUCCUCGAGGAACUUCGGGUGAUUUUGGUGACUGCUGUCGACAACCUGGUCCUAAUCUCACCCUCCUCACUUGUUACACUGAAUGCUUAUGCUUUUUCUGUGGGAUGUUAAAGAAAAGGCUUUAUCAGCAAUAGACUUGGGCGACUAAUUGGAUUUCUAUGACGAAUAUGGCUCCCCAUGAGCAUAAAAAUAUAACUGAGUAAACUGCUGUGUUUCCCCUCUUACUUCCCGUAUAUUCAAUGAAGCCCACCCUCUCCUUCUCACUUCAUGAUUGAGGGCUGAGGUUGAUGUGAAAGUUUUGGAGCACAAGGAAGUUGCAGCUCCCACUAAGAUUAAUGAAGGACUGCUGUUAUGCAACGGCAGGACAAACUAUCAGGUAGUCCCACGUGGAGAGAGGAGAGCAGGGAGAGGAGCAGGAGGAGGCAGUGUAUCUGAAAAAUAAAACAAAGCUCCUAAAGUAUAUUAUCCUGCUGGACUGACGGACCUGCUUCAGUACACAAAAAAAUGAAGGCUGAACAAUUUUUCUCUUAUUGGGUUUAUUAAUGAGGUUUUGAUUUUUGCCAUUGUCGAACAGCCCUUAUCUACAGUGAGCUUAACCCCGUGGUCUGACAUCUCCCCACAUUUUUUAGGCAUUAAAGAUGACCAAUUUAUAAAGGACAACUUGUAAAAGUGGAAAAAGUGUAUAAACCUUGGCAUUCAUCUUCAUUAUGCACCACCUUUUUUAAUUGCCAUUUGUCCUGCAGAGCAAAAUCUGUAAUUAUUUGUCUAUGUGUCUUCAAAGCAUUUAAUUAGAUUUUAAGGAGUGUUGAUCUUUCCUUGGAAAAAGGUGGGAGCAGUAGUGGAAAAUCAUGUGCGUGACAUUAACCUCAUGUCACAGCAGAACUUGGUAUGAUAUUGACGUUAGUGCUUAAAACAGAAAGAUAACACUUCCUUUUGGUAUAUUUAUAGCACACUUACUCAUGGAAUAAAGCAAAAAAUAACUUUGUUUAGGUCAGUUCCACCCAUGACCCACUCCUGAUCUGUCUUUCUGGAGAAGAUCUGUGGGACGUGUGUUAAAGAAAGGUGGAGAAAUGACAUGAUACACUGGCUUAUCGUCAUCCUCAGUCACUCAGUCAUGUUCGAUUUCGUGGAGAUUGCUUCAAGAUUAUGACACUAGAUGUAAACGUGUGAACUUUCACGUCCACAGAGUAUGUGAGUGGGAAUAGUUAAUUCAUAAAAUAAAUCAAAGUACAGGUUUAAAAACAGUCCACACAUCUUGUGAACACCAGAAUAGAGGCCAAAAAGAUAUUUUUAACACUGACUUUCUUUUUGGAAAAACUUGUGACGGCCUCAUUAGGAACCUAUUUUUAUCUCGCCUUUUUCUAUUUCUUUGUGGAAAAUCUUGUUCUUCGCUCAAAGCUAUUUCCUCCUAUCUAACACAAAUUCAAAUGCUGUUGAGAUAAAUCCUCCCUUGAUUUGUGGUUUGUGAAAUGAUUGGGCAAUAGCCUUCAGCCUGUGUAUUGACGUACACAACUUGAAAUUGAUGACUCGACUUCUGAAAACUUCUGCCGUAUGUGACAAAUCUGCCAGUAUCUCAACAGCCGUGGGCUCUAUUGCAUCAGAUGAAAACCACAAACAGAUAAAUACACAGCAGUUUGAAUGAAGAGGGUGUGGAGAAAUAAUAUUAACUCCUUAACAGUGUGAUGACCUGCAGUAAUGCCUUUGGGAAAGUUGUUAGAGUGACUGAGAAAUUCAGUUUUGUGCCAAUUUUUGGGGGCCUCUGUGUACAAAGCGGUUCAUCCACCUGUUUGUUUUAUGCAAUUUGAAUAGUCUGUUUCACUACACUUUAAAGCCUUAAAGUGGAUCUUAUUUUGGUUGGUCACUGCUUUUAUUCGCCACUGGAUACAUCAACAUAAACCUUGUGGAGAUAAUCAUAAUCCUAAGAGGAUGAACCCUGCAGGGCCUGCUGACCUCCCUUACUCAAACACCACGAGGGGACAUCUGUUUUUUUUUUAAAUAAAUGUCUCAGACGGUUGUAUCUUCCUGAUUUCUGCUGCUGCUGGAAACAGUGACACCACUUUUGGUGGUUUAAACAUCAUCAGGGUACGCUGAAGUUGUGCUCCACCUACGAGCUGAACAUGCAAGUGCAGCUGAUCAGGCUAGUGUCAGUGGGCAACCGUGCCACAAAACAGCACAUGACCACUGACUAUGGACCAGUCAACAUGGUGAAAUGGAUGUUGUCGUCUAAUGGAUGUCCUCUGAUUAACAUGAUGUGACUAAUUGUGUGUCUUAGUGUUGUAGGAACAGUAUUUUCAGCCAUACAGAACCACUGUGAGAAAGAUUAAAAGUUAACCAGCAAUUCCAUUUAUGAGUAAACAAAGUUAUCUCAGUAUAACAUUGAUUAACGUUCGAUUUUGUACGUGAUCUUCUGCAUAUUUCUUAAAGUGCAACAGUCUUAUCUUUCAAAAAUGACACAACUGAAACCCUGAAGAGUGCAACUGCUGAGACAUUAACCAGAGAUCACAGUAGAGAGUCAGCGAGAUAUCAGAGUUAUGAAUAUAGCACUGUUUGGAGAUCACUCUUAAAUAUUUCUCAAAGUGCGUUUAUGUUAACUUUUAAAGAACCACUCCAAUGAAAAUCCUGUUUUUCUUGUUGUCUACAUGUUCAUAUGGCAAAGUGCAAAAUUGCAUUUCUGAGUAUUUCUGCGUUCAAAUCGUUGAGGACCUCUGGCAGACCCAAAGGGCAGGUUCAGAUAGAGUGGGAUUUUUUACGUCACAAGUCCAAGCUCCUUUAAUCCUCUAAAUCUUUAGAAGAUUUCACAGCUCUAGUUUGAUUAGAAAUGAAAAUAGAUUUAAAAGAUAGAAGGUCAGACCUGGCUUUCUGUCUCUCUUUCAUUCAGCUGCUCGUGACGUCAUGAAGAGCUUGUGAGUGACGAUAGAGAGUUAAGAGAAUUUCUAAAAUUGUUUGACACAUCCCCCUCAGUGCACCAGUGGAAAGAUGUGGGAGAAUGAGGAAGUUACCUAAGCUGUAGGUAUGCCACAGCAGUAAUGUAAGCCUUUGCUUUUUGCGUGUUGCAUUAUAUUUCUUUGUCCAACAUUUAUUUUGUUCUACCUCAUUUAGAUCUAUUUACACCAAACAGCUUGAGCCUCUAAGCGCCGCAGCUACCCCUGCUGAAGGCACACUGAGAGCUUAUUGGACUCGGCAUCCUGCCACAUGAGUUGCUGCUUUCAGGGCCUUUCUCGUAAAUCUAUUGUGAAAGCUUCGGGGCUUUGACCAGCGCAAGCAGAGCAAAAAAUGGGAGUCUGAACGGCUGCUGUUUGAGGGAAAGAUGAAAUAAUACAAAGACAGGAAAAGGCUAUUGGCCAAAACAUGGGGAAAAUCCAGGGGAUGAGUCCAGCUCUGCAAACAUGUUCGCCACCUGAGGGCAAAAAUUCUGGCGUUGAAAUACUUUAUAAUGCAGUGAAAUGGCUGAUGGUGAUAGAUUACAUAGUGGAAUUGUACCCUGUGAUAUCUGAUCUACACAUCUGUUGUUUGUGCUCCUUAAAUGUGUGUGUAAACUGCGCUGCAAAAGGCUUUAAAGUGAGUCGCUCUUUCUGGAUUCCUGUUUGUUUUCUGGGCACAAGAUCAAAGUCAGGUGGCCUUAAAAUGAGCUCGUAGGGGUUGGUGUUUUAUGUCACUGCUGAGUCAAGACCCGCAGGAGCGAACAAGCUCUUUAAUGUCGAUCCAAAAGACAGACUAUCCACUCUGUAACACCAUUACACAGGUGAGAGCCGUGUCAGCCUCCGUGACACUAAUUCCCACAGCGAACACUGUGUUAAUUAUUCUGGGUCAAUUUUUAUGGAGAGGUGAUCCAGAGCUAUUCUCAGUGACAGAAUCAGAUUAUGUGACGAUCCACAUGCAGUCGUUUUAUGCCAAGGGAGAAGACAGACUUGGAGAAACAGAGGGAUUAGAGAUGAGAAAGAGGUGUAGGAGGAGGAGGAGGAGGAGGAGGAGGAUGAAGAGGAAGAGGAAGAGGAGGGCAAUGGGAGAGAGAGGAAUAACGGGGUUGCCAGGACUCCGAGGCUUGUCUGUCAUUCUGUGCGUCAGUCAGACUAUUCCCAGGCUCAGACGCAGAAACAGCAUUUGCGCAAUUGAGACACACACACAUUUACACGCACAGAGAAACACACAUUUUCUCACUUUGUCAGCGCAAGCUGGAUGCUGGAAAUAUCCCUUUAUAUCUGCUGUCACAGUCUAAUUAGAUUCCACCACCACAGCGAUUCUUUUCCCUCCGUAUUUUCUCUCCUUUUUUACCUCAGUCACACUCUCUGCUACACUUGUGGAGCUCGUGGUUGUUUCCCCGGCAACAGCUGCUUCCUGUUUGUCCGUCCGUGUUUGUCCGUCCGUGUUGGCUCUCUAAUGAUAAUAAAGUGACCCUGAAAGGGGCAUCUAGUGUAUAAGGCUACCAAUUCUGCCAUUUGUUGAAGAAUAAUUCUGCAGCUGGUUUAUAACGAUAACAGCUGAGUCUUUUUGAACCACAUCACCCAUUCAUCGAAAAAAAAAAAAAGAUUUAUUGCCAUAGUCGGACUAAGACUGGACUUAAAAUGCAUGUAAACGCGUUAGUCUGACUGAAAUCACUCUGAAAUGAAACAUCUCAUAGUUGGACUAACAUACCUGGAUAAUGUGGUUGGAAAUUGAUUUUCUCUAUCAUGUAUUUGGCUCAAUUGAACAGAGUCUGGCCUACACGUUAUGUGCAUGCUCCAGAGUUGAUGAUGUGUUGAGGAUGUGUUGCUAGGAAGGCUGGUAGUAAACAAAACCUUGGAUGAUGACAGGAUGUAAAGAAGACAAAACUUGUCAUAACAACCAGUACAGAGCUGUAAUAAUGACGUCCUGUUAGCUUCUUGUUACCAAGUUUUGUUGGCUGUUUUGAUACAUAACACAUCAACCAGGAGUCACGCUGUUGUAAAUGAUUCGAUUCUUGCAUGUCAACUGGGACAGGGCUGGUAGUCUAGUUAAGUCGCCCAAUCGAGCUAGGGCCGUAGGCCGACUUUACUGUGCAUGCCAAUGUACAAUCCAAAAAUCACAGUCAUUUUGUGCCAGUCACGUUUUAGGUGGAUUUUUAAUUUUUGAUCAAAUAGAGUAAUACAUUGGGUUAUGCUGUAUGUUUAAGAACAUGACUGAUAUGUAAGUCUGAGGAAAUUUUAAACUAUAUUUUUCUACAUUAUGACUGAUUUUAUACUCAGCAUUAUCCAGAAACUGUUUUAACGUUUGAUUUGUUGUUUACGAUGUUAUCAAUAAGAAAAGACAAUGCUGACAUAGUUUUUUUUGUGUUUUAUCUUUUUAAACAGGCCUCAUCAUUACAGACAUUUGAUGCUAUAUCAUUUCAAAAUGCCAAAUUUCUGCCAACGGUUUAGAAGUUUACCCUCAGUCAGCCUACCCUAAGUUGGUGAGUUGGUAAGAAGAGUCUUUCAUUGUCUGUUUUGGCAAGUCUGCUAAGAGUUUUUGAUUCAUCUUUAGAUUUUGUUUAUAGAUCAAUCCAGUCUAUAAUCCAAGCAUUCGUUUGACCCCUCUGUAGUAAAAUGUUGUUGUGUAUCUGAUGAGUAAUUACAGGAUGGCAGUUUGACAUUUCCCCUUUCAUUAAUAAAAACAGAAACUGCCAUGUUGUGUUGAUGAAACAGACUGUUUUUCCAGCCUGCUUCGUGUGCUGUCAAUGAUAUUCCACCAGCAAUAAAUAGAAAAAAACACUUUCCAAGUACAUGAGGCUUUCCAAGAUCACAAGUAUCAUUAAUAUUAUGAGGCUUCUGUGCUCUGCAAACAUUGAUGUGGGCACCGCCAACUUAAGGAACAGACCAGCUUAUCAUUGUGGGAAGGUCAGUGCAAGUCAGCAGGAACAAAUGAGUCCCUGUUGGUGCACAGGUUUUUUCUGUAAUUAUAGGCUAGGGUGCUUAAGAGCAGGCAUUAAAUAAACCAUACAUUAUGACAUAAUGAAGCAUGUUGAACCACAGUAAGAGGCACUUCAUGAGGAUUUAUUUGGAGUAGUUUUGUAAAGGUUUCUUUGAGGGGCUUUUGAUGCCUUUAUUCAGAGACAUUGGAAAGAGCAGGAAACUUGGAAGAUGUGGGGAUGGGAUGAGGGAAAGGACCACAGAGCAGACUUGAACUAGGGUUGUCUGAGGACAGCAGUCUCUGCUUGAAGUUUCAUGUGCAUGAUUCAACCACUGAACUGCACUGGCACACCAGUGCUGGGGCUUUAAACUUAUCACAUUACCUCAGCUGUUAUAAAUGCCGAUAUCUGCUGCAGGAGGUCUUUGUCUGAUUCGUUUAGCUAAUAACUCAGAUUCUCAUUUGCCUCCAAAGCAGAACACUUAAAGUCCUUAUCCGUUUGUAUGCAAAUGAUUUUGAAAAUGGACUUUUUGUCUGCGUUUUGCUCUCACCUGCUCUGCUGCCAUUGCAUGGAUUGCAGGACAAGUUCCAACUAUUGAAGUACUUACUGCUGUAUACUUAUUAUGCUGAUCUGUAUUUUAAUGCAAACAUCAAAGAUUAAAAAGCUUGUUGUCGAUAUCAAACCUUCGCAAAGUUUUAGAAUUCAAGAUUCACACUGUUGAUAGGUUUUCUGCAUUUUCUAAAUUUGCUUCCUGUUGUUUCUAAAACUUUGUAAGACUAAUCAUUAGCCAUUAGCCUAUCAGGACGUGCUCCCUCUACAGCUCUUACAUGAGCACGCCCACGAGGACGCUCUUUCAAAUUUUCCCUUGACGGGAAAGUCCAUUUCCUCUGCUCUGUGCUUUGUUGAUUCAGUAUGUCUCAAAGAGUUGCUCAUAAGUGUUCCUUUGGUGUUUUUAGGACAACAAAAGCCACAACAUAGCCGUGCCAGCUUGCUACUUCACUUUUUUGCUCUUUUGUACACAAAGACCAGUACGAGCUGAGGCUGUUCCAUCCAUAAAGACCAUCUGUGAUGGCUCGUAACCACAAACUGUGAAUAACAUAACAACAGGAGGUAAUGUGACGAAAGCAAAUGUAGAAAGAGGAGCUAACUUGGGCCAAAGCAUCUAGCCUCAGAGGUUUUCUGUAAAGGUAUGACUUCAGGUUACUUCAAAGUUGUGUAAAAAGUAACACCCUUGAGCUGUCUCUGAUUUUAUAUCAGUGGAAAGGCAGCCAAAACAAAUCAGGUUUUUCUAUAAACACUAGUAUAAGCAAAAUAAGGAAUCUCUUAACGCUUUAUGUCACGCAAAGCUACGUUAUUGGCUGACAUAAUUAAAAAUGGAGAUGAGUAUAAUGGGUCUCUAUUAAAAAUGCUCCUCCAUGUGUCACAUUUUGCCACAGUGUCAACAGGCAGAGGUCAGACUCUUUCAGGGGGACUGGUUUGAUAUGUUGGUUCUGAUCAGAUCAGUCUUUCUACUCAGUCUUAUUUACUGUUGAUAUUUCUUGAUGAUAAAAAUUCAAUUCAACUGGGUGAUAAACUAGCAAUAUCACACUCACAGUUAUGCUUUUGUCCUCAUUAUCUGCACUUCUCUGAUCGUCCCUGCUUACAAUCUGCUUCCCCUCUUAUAUGACAUUGCUGAGACAUGUACAAUUUCUUUCAGAAUAAUUUGCUCAUACUACAAUUUUAUGCUUUGUUGACAGAAUAAGCCAACUCAUGGCAGCCUGAAAGUUGGACAAUUUAUGUACAUAACAGCUGUAAAUAUCACUCAUGUAUAUAUCUUUUUAAAUAUUUUUUUUAACUCUAAGUUUCUUCAUUCUUUAAUCUAUCUUUUGUAUUUAUCGCCGCUAUAAAUUCGGAAGUUAUUAGCCCACCUUGUGCAAUGAAUAAAGGAACAUUUUAUCGCUUAUCUUUAAACAGUUUGUGCAGUUGUGUUGUUUGGAGCCAGCUGAGAUUUCACACAGCAACCGAAUUCAGUGGAAACAUUCAUCUUUGUGUUGCAACAUCUGCAUGACAUGAUGAAUUGAGCUGGUAUUUAACCUAUCUGGGAAAAGCAUUUGUUGUAAUCUCCACAUCUGGAAAAGGAUCUGUCAGCAUUAGGAGGAGUUAGUGGAUUUGGAUGACUUUGAAUGUGUGAGUUAUGAAGCAAAGGAACCUUAGCCACACAUGAAUGCUUUGAAGUAUUUAGUCUUUGUAGAACAAGAAGCCAUAAUGACACCCGGCAUAUUUGUCGACACAUACCAGACGUAGCUCCCCUCAGAAAACUGUGUUUGAUAAAUGCCUGGAAUGACAUCAACACUUUGCUCCCGAGGCGUUUGUUUAAAGAGGAGUCUUUUGUGGAGGGAGACCGCAGUGUUUUGGCCGAUAGGUGGUGGGUAUACCCGUAUCUUUGAGGAAACAAAAGCUCCUUCUCAAGUUCACAGGUACAACACACGGUAAACAGAGUAUGUGGGGCAAGUAUCUUGUUCCACACCGGCCUUGUUUCCCUCCCGACUUGCUCGCUCACUGUCAGAAGAUAAAAGAGGAAACACAGCAGAAAGAGAGUGGGAAACACAGAGCGACUUCAAAGCUGAACAAGAAUUUCUUUAAACAUGGUUCUCGAAAGACCACAUCAAACACAAGGGGAGGCGAAUGCAAGAGGGGGAAGCUGGGAUGUGUUCAUGUGUGUGCGAACGCGUGUAUGUGUGUGUCCGUUAUGGCACAAAGUUGCAGAGAUGCAUCUAGGCUAUGCUGCUCUAGCACAAGUGCAGAGAAGAAAAAGAGGCUGUCAGCUCUGAUAAAGAGUUUGGAGUGUGUGUGCGUUUCUUCUUGCUCUGCGCGGCCUCUUCAGCACCCAGAGAGCACUUCAGCUCAGCGGCUGCCAAGGAGACAAUCAGAGGGUGGCCCCGCAGCCCACACACACGCUCACGCACACUCACCCUGCCUGCAUGCAUCAGGGCGCGAAUAUCAUGCAAGUGCACGCACAAACACAUCAAAGCACACACUUCAUGCUCCUUUAUCGCGUAUGAACCAGAGUGGAUAUUGAUUGUUUUAAACAGAGCAUUUACGACGCAAAUGCUAUUCCUAGGGCUUGGAGUACACCCACACACGUUUCCCCCAUGACAUACACACACACACACAACACACAAGCAGAAAUGCACAAACAGCGGCAGUAUAUUAAAACAGACAUUCUUACCAUUCCUGUAAAACCCUCUGGUAUCAACAGCAGGAAACGCCACACAAUCACCCUUGACUCAGUGGCUCUCUGUCAGAAAAACAUAACUGUGACCUUCCUCCUGUUUUAACCAGAGCUGUCUGUGGAUUUCAGGCUCACUAACAAUGGCACGGCUGGAAAAAAGAAAGGCUACCUCAAUGGAAACUGUGUAAAGUCUUCCAGUCUGAGGUCUGUGUACUGUCUGACCCCCUGGCUCCUGUUCUUCCUUUCUUUUCAUGGUGCUCUUCCUAUUUUUAUGUUAUCCUGGUGAUCUGGCAGACAACCAUUGUGGGCCUGCAUCCUUCCUCCCAGCCUUCUUCCAUUGGGUCUCAACCUGCCUAGCAUUAUCCUCGUCUAUUUGGCUGUCUGCUGCACCGCUGCCUGCCUGCCUGUCUGCCUUUCUUUGUCUGUCAACCUGCUGACUUGCAUUUUUCCUAAUCCUGUCUUAUUCUGGCAGUAGCCCCGAGUGAAUACAACGAACAAAACCUGUGACCAGGGAUUAAGCAGGCACCACUUUUUGGCGCCAAAAACUGCAUUUUCCUGUGCCGCCACUACAGGCCUGCUUCAAAAGUGCUUAAUUUAAGAUCUUAAAUCACAGGAGAUAUAAACAGGCAAAAUAAAAAAUGUACUUUGUAUGUAUUUUAAAGCUCAAUUCCAUUUUUCUCCUUCCUCCUGUGAUUCUCAGGAAACUUACCGCAAAUCUUUGACUUGAACCUUGUUUUUUAUUAGAAAAGUAAAAUUUAGAUUAAUUCAUUAAUCCUCAAAUUGAUGAAAAAAAAAAAAGUUUUUUAGUUUGAUGUGAGCAACACUUUUUAAGAAAGAUUGGACAAGGACAAUGAAACACUGGUAAAAAUGUGUAAUACUGUUCAAACUACCUAAAAGAGAAACUUCAAAACAAUUAUAUCUAUCUGAAACAGGUUUGUGACAUGACUGGGUAUAAAAGGGGAAAUUCUUGUUCGGCUGAGUCCUCCUUUAGAAACUGUGUGAAACUAUAAUAAUAGAGAAAUGUUGUUCAGCAUAAGUGAAACAAAAGCUGAGGGUUGCAUCCACUUCAGAUUCAGAGAAUCUGGAGUAAUCUCUGUCCAAAAAGGUCAAGGCCCAAAACUACUUUAGAUGGCAGUGAUUUUCAGGUGGCACUGCAUUAAAAACAGACAUGACUCUGGAGUGGAAGUCACUGCAUGGGCUCCAACCCACUUCAAAAAAAUGUUGUCUGUGAACAGUUCGUCACUGCAUCCACAAAUGCAGGUUAAAACUGAACCCCAUGAAGAGGAAGCCUUAUAUUAACAUAACCAUAUUGAAGAUGUACUGAGGUGAAGCAGAAGACUUUCCUGAUGGAUCAAAAUUUAACAUCCUUUUUGGAAAUCUUGGAUGCCAGAUCCUCCACUCUCAAGAGAAGAGAGACCAUCUGGCUCACGUAAUACAGCAAGAAGUUAUCACAUCAUAUUUUACAUGCAUUACAACUGCAUGGCUUGAUAGUAGAAAAGUGCAGGUGCUUUACUGGCAUCCCUGGAGUCCUGACGUAUCGCACAUUGAAAACAUUUAUGCAAAAUUAAAAGAAAUCUGAAAAAAGAAACCCUAAACUGUUGGACAGAUGAAACUCCGCAGUAGUCAAUAAUGGGAUGACUUUAAAAACUAAAAAAGUGGUCAGCUCUAUUUCCAACCCUUUAAAGUCCCACUCUGAUAGUUUUCUAUCACUACUUUAAGUGUUACCAGUGGUCUUUAAAUUGGGAUUAUGAAGUUUUCAGCCAAAAUCACGUUACCUGUGUCAUUUUCAAGGGCUUUUCUUCUGCUGAGCUCCAGUAGCUCAUUAGCAAAUCGCCUCUGAGUCGUGGGCGGAGACAGCGCUGCUCUGCACACUCUUCUUCACGUUAGCUCGCAGCCUAACGUUGCCGGUGUAGUAGAAGUGGCAGGUAAUAUAGGAGCUAUUCAGCUCUCGGUCACUAAGUCAAUAUCAUAAUUAGCUUUCUCACCAGCAUUGCAAUCCGCUAACGCACUCGCUUGUUCCGCGAUUUUCCUCUCUAUUCCGCUGAGUGUGGCCUGUGUAGCGGGGCUCUGGGGGCGGGGCUUCGAUUUGCUACGUAAAAAAAUCUCACUGAAUCUGACCCUGCCAUUAUAGUCUGCUAGAGAUUCACAGCGUAUUGAAUGUAGAAAUACCCAGAAAUGCAAUUUUGUACUUACUUUUCUCGUGAUACGUCCUGUAGCAUCAGAAAAUGUCAUAUGAACAUGUAGACAACAAGAAAAACAUGAUUUUCAUUAGAGUGAGUCUUUAAAGAGUGUUGUCAGAAGGAGUAAACAUGCUUCUGUUACUGUUUGAAAACAUGAUUAUUUCAUAAAACAACAAAAUUUGACAGUUUUUACAUUUGUUGUUGUCUUAAUGCAAUCUUACAUUUACUGAAAAAUUUUACACAGUGUCCCAACUUUGUGGUAUUUGGGUCGUACAUAUUUGUCAGGGUUAGUUCCUGUGCUCAUGUCAGCUGUACUUGAACCAAAAUUCCUAAAAGUUGAGUCCAACAAAAAAGAGAGUUUGAUAUUUUUCAUGUCACUGGUGAUCACUCUCUUCCUCUGAAGCUUUGGGGCUUCUUUCCUGAUAACAUUUCUAUAUUUUUUUUCCACAUUUUGAUCUCUGCAUCAGAAAAAUGUCACACAUAAAAUACACCCACGAAAAUACAACACCUCAAGUUGUGAUAAAGUGGUAGGAGAAAAACCGACUGUGGAAAUGAGGACGUUAAUAAUCUGUACAGCUGUGUGACCUCAUACAGCUGUCAAAAACACUGGAAGUCAAUCAAAAACACCAUCAGUUCACACAAUUUACACUUCCAGUUUACGUUAGCUGUUUGUCAUAUUCCUCUUCCACUGAAUGAAACAACAGACAGGAAUACACACACACAAACACACACACACACACGACCACAGGAUGUGAUCAGAACUCGAACAUCCUUUCUGCCCCCUCAACAUCCUGUGUGAAAACCCGAAGUACCACAGCUACACAGGAAGUUGCAUCUGCGGGGAGGACACAGAGGUUAGCAGGGACACAACAUGACUACACCACAAUAAAUGAAAACAUGAUGCAAAGAGUGCGAUCAAUACUUAGAGAGUUGAGGCUCAAUGCAGCUUCCUCUCAGCUAUCAUAUACAAGCCGGGACUUGAAAAGAGUGUGAUGUGCAUUCAUGCAGCCAUUCAGGGUAAAGACCUGUGUAAAAGAGUCGGUAGUAACGUGAUUAGGUUUGAUUCUGCAGAUGAUUCGCCUCAGGACAUUGUUCUCCUCUCUGAUCUUCCUAAUUGAUACACGGAUGUGGGCGGAUGGCUAAGGCUACGUAGCGAGGAGAGAGGGAGGAAGAUGAGGAGUAAAAAAAGGAAGGCUUUGUAUAGAAGAGGCACCUGCUGGGUCCACAUGGCUCUGAAUGGCCCUAUUUAAGUGGCUGCACUCACGCAUGCAUCAGUCUAAAGCGCUGCCCCCGCUGUGAGUAAAUGUGGAUGUGAGCACAUGGCGCCUCUGAUCAAGGCUAUUGGCAAGAUGGUUUGUGUUAUCCGGGAAAGCAGACCAGAGAUGGUGGGCUAGGUUUGUUAUUUAGAGCGAGCAGAAGCACAGGUGCACGUUGUAAAGAGGGAAAGCGAGGGGUGAAACUGGGACAGCGAGGAGAGGAAGAUGGAGACUGACAGAGGAGUCAGUAUUAGAGGGGAAAAACAAGUUUAAUCACGGCAGAGGAAAAACAACAAACGACGCAUGGAUAACCUGUUUGUUCAAAUCAGACUACAGCUAACAAUAGCAUCCAGCCACUCUCUAGAUUACACCAGACCAAUCCAGAGAACAACAGGACUCCACUUUAAGCGCCUACUAAGACAACCUGGACCAGGAUUUCCUGUUGUUAUAUUGUUCCCGCCCUUAUCGUCUUGCUUUUAAGUGCCACUCUUGUCAUUUAUCAACCUUAAAAGCUGCACCAGAACUAGCCUACAUUACAUUUACUCAACAUAACCGUUUUUUUUCUGCAUGGAAACGUGAAGGAUGGUCACCUCAGCAUAAAUCAGUCCCUAAAUGUUUUUAUCUCGGUAUAUCAGUCGCAGUGAUUUAUUAGAAACUUAAAGAAAAUACUUUUUCUGUCGUUAGCUGACCAAGCUAGACAAAGGCUGCCAUCUUUGUUUUUAUCUGUCAACCAGUCAGAGGCUGUAUCUGUGAUCAGCUGACCUGUAAAGGUUCAGUUAGCUGCCAGUGCACCCUGAGACAUAUGCUACAGUUGGCUUAUAGCAUAGGAACACACAAAGAAGCUAGCAAAAGUUGUUAGCAAGAGGUUGACAGGUUGGAUGUCAAACUAUGUAAACAUUGUCACUUUUACAGCUUGUAGGAUUGGACAUUUUUAUCAAUUUUAUGUCCUUUCUUUGUCUGUUGAGGUUUUUUUGUUUACUACCCAGCUCCAAGCAAUGCCUCCAUGUUUUUUAACAACCGACUUAAAGCCUGGCAUGUGAACACUCAGUGCGUUUACAUACACAGCUUAAUCGGACGAAGAUCAUAAUUGUUUUUUUUUUUUGCCAAAUCAGACUUCUCUCCUUGUCCGCGUAUACAUGCAGCUGAGAAAAUCGAAUUAUUGACGUGAACGUGUCCUCCUCCCCAAAACUAGGGGGCGAUAUUGGUCCUCUCAGCGGCGCUGUUUUCAGUUGACCCAACAACAAUAGCAGGCCUGUGCCAGAGGUCAGAAGUGGCUACAGCUGCUGCUGGGCAUUUUCGAGCAAGAAGAUGGAGCAUCGUACAGCGUUGUUUUUGUUGUACAUGAUGUAUGCGCUACUUUUUCUGCAGAUGAGGUGCAUACUACUCCUCUUCUCUGGUGUUUUUGUUCCGGGGUUAUGGGGGCGUGGCGCAUGCGUACAUGCAUUGUCCAAUCAUUCUCCGAUGACGCUGGUUACAUGGUAGAGAAAACUGAAUUCUAAUUGCAUUAUCUCGGUGUCUUAAUCUGAGUUCUCCUACUCCAAUCGGAGUUCUCAAACUCCGAUUAUAGUCGGACUAAGGUGUUUACAUGCACUUCAGUUGUCUGGUUUUGAAGGGAUAUUCCGUCCUAAAAUUAAUUUAGGGUCAAAUACAUAAUUUCUUCAUGGUAAUGAAAUCAGGCCGAAGCACUAAGGCAGAAGAACUACCACGUCUGCAGUGCAAAAUGAAGACAGUAGAUGAGUUGUGUUUAGUCUCUUUGCUAAAGAAACCAGGCAAAGCUAAAAAGAUGUUUGGUGGCUAGUACUGUGGCUAGGACCCUAUAUGUACUGUUGAUGAACUUAGGUGCUGUUCUGAGCACUUUUUGUGGCUAUAGAGUGGCGUUUUGGUCUCUGUAUUGCUAUCGUUCGGUCGUUACUAAAGUUGGUCUAACUACAGACUACAUGUUGUUAGCAACAUUCAUCUCUCAAGGGGGUGUCUAACUCGGUGUUACAGUGUGUUUGACCCUGAAUUAAUUUUACGCCGGAAUAUGUCUUUAAUCAGAGGAAGGCAAUAAUUCAGUUUUCUUGGGUGUCAUGUAAACGUACUGAUUGAAGCAUGCACCGAAAAUUUGAGCCAGUUUAAGUCCGAUUGAGCCAUAUACAUUGAAGACAAAAUUGACCCCCAAACCAUGUUAUCCAGGUAUGUUCAUUUGACUUUGAGAAGUUUGAUGUGAAGUUAGUCGGACUUAUGUGUUUACAUGCUUCUAAAAAGUCCAGUUUCAGUCAGACUAAGGCAAUAAAUGGACUGAUGGCCUUUAUGCUUACUGACGCUGUUCUCCUAGAACUUUGUGCCGAGCAAAACAAUGGCGACACAUCGCAAGAGACAGUCAGCAUGUAUGAAACUUGCAGUAAUAGUAAACCAAUGGAUGAUACUCAUGUUUAUUUGACUCAAAGUUACUGCAACAAGACGCCUACUUUUUUACCGAGAGUUUCUCCCAGAGAAAGGAGCGCCCUCAUUUUUGAAGUGAGCAGUAAAUGUAAGUGUAUAUCAAUGCGUGUGUGUGUGUGUGUGUGUUUGUAAGAGGAGCAGAUGGCGGAUUGAACCCUUGUUUGUGUGCUUUACCCACUCAUCAGAGAGAAACAUCUGUGCGUAGAUCCACCUGCAUGCAAUCAUCUACACACAACAUCUGCGCAUAUCUACCAGAGAGCACAAAGAAGCCGAUCUUCUUAUCCAGAUACCACACUUGACACCAAAAUUACUUCUCCAUUUUAAUUCUGAACCACCGAACACAUACCCGCAUAUUCAGGAUCAGAUGUCGGGAGUGUUUGUGAGUCACGGAUUUUAAAUGUUCUUGGCAGGGGUUACAGCCAGAAAACAUCAAAAAAGGAGCUGAAAACGCACACACAGACACACAGUUGGAACAUUUCUCUGUGUGAGUAACUGCAAAGGUUGAGCUGAGAAGUCAGUUAUCGAGUGCCUGUGGUGGGAUGAACACGAAGCCAACCGACUGAGCUGAUACCGGUCAAGUCUGCUCUUAAAGUUUCUUUCAAAUCUGACACCGAAACUCAUUUUCUUCUGCGCUGUCAUGGGGCGUUGCAGCCUUUCGAACAGAUGAAGGCAGAUACUCUCAGACACUUGCACCGCAUCACCGUCUCAGAACGUCAAUGAGAUGAAAGUACAACUCUCGGUAUUACUCAGAGCAGAAGAGAAAGUUGAAGGCCCUGUUCAGCUGCUUUUGUUUUAAGGAGGAUCUUCAGACAGAGAUGGAGGCAUGCUGCAAACUCCAGAAAAUGUCAAAUAGAAAGAGAAGAGCCUGGACAAAAAAGGCACUUAGGGUUAUGAGUAGAAUAAAAUGUAAUCAGGGUGAGAUAAAGAACCUUAAAAGAAUCUAAAUUCAGCCUCUGGUGUGUUUAGACUUCUACAUUUUGAAAAUGAACCAGCAAAGUUUGCAGCUUUAAGUGUUCAAGUCUGAGCAUCCACAGCAGCACGUACACCGACUCUCUCUCUCUCGCUCUCUUUUUCUCUCGUGUGUGUGCUGUGCAAGGUUGCAAGGCGUCUAUGUGUGUGCAUAUGCAGCGUGAGGAGAGCGCUGGGGGGAGACCACCUACACUCCCACCUGCUCUGCCUUUUUAGAGGGGCCUCUUCAAUCACAAGGCUGGGGUCAUUAUGGAUGCGAGCCUCUAGCUGCCGGGCAUUGUUUAGCUAUUUCUGUCCUCGUGCUUCACAGCGAAACAUCGAGCAAAAGCCCCAUUAAAACGCGCUUGAACACAUGAGCAGCCACGACAGGAAACAUCGGGUCCUGUACUUCAGACUCUCCUUUUUUCUCAGGUGGAGAUCUAAAACAGAACACAGCUACUAAAAGAAGCUUUCGGAGGCAGCAUCUGAACUCAAAGUACCCCACUCACCAACAUGUUGUAUGAUUUUUCCUCAAGAACAAAGAGUUAAGCACACGCAGCUUUGCAGAAACAAAGCAUAAUAAACUUUGUUAUGGAGGUAGAUGUGAUGAUAAAAGAGGACACCUCUGACUUUGUGGGUCUGACGCGGCGAUGAGUAAUGACAAAGCAGUGAACUGUUUGACAGGCACUGUGAAGAUGAGUAAGUCCAAACUUUCAGAGUGAGAUAUGAAGAGGGGAAGAUGUUGUUUGUUCUUCACUUCAGGGAAAACUAUCUGAAAAGCCCUCUGAUGCUACUUUUGAGUGUUUUCAACUGGGUUCUGUUUGCUGUUUCAGGAUGAAGGAAAAACACAUGAUCACGAGAUAAGAAUAACUUUUUACAUUUUUCAGUAAGAUAAGUAGAUUAAUUCCACUCACGUGCCUUUAAUGAUCCCAAUUACAUGAGUCACUGUCUGAAAACAGGUUUGUACAUCAUUUGAAGCCUUUACUUAAAUGAAAAUAGUGCAGAGACAGUAUGUAAACCUAAAUGUAUACCUAUUUUAAAUGUGAUACAAGCAACGCUUUUCAAAACAGUGAGGACAGGGACAACGAAACACUGCAUGUGAAGAAGAAACACCUAAAACAACAACCCUCAACUUACUACAAUAACUUUAACAAGUUAGUAGCAUGACUAAGACAUCUAGAGAGGCUGAGUGUCUCAGAAGUAAAGAUGGGUAUAGAUUCAUAGUUCUGUUAGAGCCUGAGUGAGGUAAUAGUUAAAAAAAUAAUAAUAAUAAUAUCGCUGAACAUUAAAGUUGCAAGGAAUUUAAGAAUUUUAUCAUCUAUGGAUCAUAACUUUAUCAAGCUAUUCAGAGAAUCCUGAAAAAUCUCUUUAAAAAGGGACAAAGCUCAAAUACUGAAUGGCUGUUGAUGCAGCACAGACUUAAAACAGACAUGACUUUGUAGUGGAAGUCACUGCACACAUCUCAAAACAAGGCUGUCUGUGAGUUUAGAAAAUGCAGGUUAAAGGGGUGUUCAGACCAAACGCGACCUCGGCGACUUCAGCAACUGCUCCCAAUGCAAAGUCUAUGUACAGCCGCAACCUGACGCGACUUAGCGACCGCUGGCUGCCUGCGACGCGACCAUGCGCGACCUGGUCACCGGGUCGCGCAUUGUUUGCGGAGGUUGCGUCGCCAAGGUCGCAGGACGCCAAGGUCGCAGGACGCCAAGUCGCGUCUCUCCCAAAACUGUCCCAUGCAUUCUGCCAUUUCAAGGCAGGGUAUUUCUAAACAGGUUUGGGAGCAACAUAUGCUGUCAUCCAGAUAAUGGCUUUUUCAGGGUAGACCUUCAUAUUUCAUCACAAAGACUGUAUUGUAACAUGUAUUAUCACUGUAUGGCUCUGUAGUAGAAGAAUCCAUGUGCGAAGCUGGCCUGCCUGCAGUGCCAACUUAUCACAGGGCAAAUCACCCCAAUGAGCAGUAGACGUCUAAUAGAUGUCUAUUUUUUUCUAGACCUAAUUUUCUAGAUUCUGUAUAUUUUUAGACAGAAUUUAGACAUUGCACUUUAACCCAUUAUUCGAAAACUAUUUAUUUCAAAAAGCAACUGUGAGUUGUAUAACUGAUCUCACAAGUAACUAAAAUAAUUAUGAUAGCCGUUGAGCAAUAUACAGUGUAGUAGAGAUAUAGCCCAGAUUUAGACUUGGUCUAAAUUUAGACGUCUAAAAAAACUUUCAUUUUUAGACCUGUGGUAGCCUGAUUUUAGACCAGUCGUCUUGGCUACAUUAAGACGUCUAUUAGACCUCUUUUAGACUAAAAAAUGCUCAGUGGGAAAUGAUGUGGUCAUUUGUCCUCAGUGUGCAAGAGGGUAAUUUUAGAUAACUUACAUAUUAUGAAAUCUUCCUAAAUGCACAAAACAGACAUUAAAAUGUACAGGCUUUGGCUUUAGAUGGUGCCUAUAUAACUUGGUUUAUAUCGACUAACUCCAGCAUAGCUACAGCCCUUUACAAAUAUUAAAGAGUAAUAUCAUCUUCUCAUGCAACUCUGUCUGCCACCGAAAAUGAAAACACACGCGCUCAAAUCAGGACAAAACAUUGUGUUUUCUGUGCCUUAAAACAUUACAGCAUAGUCAAGUACCAUCCGCUUUUCAAGCACUUAUAAACAACUCUGCCUUGCAAACAAUUAGACAGUGAUUUGUGACCAGACCUGAGUCUUUUAGUGUCUAUUUUUGGAGCUGAGCUUCCUAAAUGCACUACUUAAGGUAAACUACAUUAAAUGUGUGGUAAUUAGUGAGCCACAUUACAGACCACAAACUGCUAAUUGUGCAGCCUGUGGUUGUUUCUGCUUGCCUCCGCCCAAGAGGAGCUGCAGACUGCUCCUAAUACCAGCCCAGGCAUCUGCUCUGCACGAGAUCAUUGUCCGACACGCAAACAGUAAUUGUCAGCUGAGGUGAGAUACAAAAACAUGUCUGAUAGCAGGCUGAGCUGAGGCAUGGGGCACUGUGAGCUGUUUGUUUAUUUGUUUGUUUGUUUGUUUGUGCAGAGGGUGGUGCACCAGUAAAAGUGCAUUUACAUAUGUGAGUAAGAGUGCAGUGUCUGUGUUUGUGCGAGGAGGGGUGAGUAGAUAAAUUCUGUGGGUGUUUGUGGGGGUGUCGGAUGAUUUUUACAGGCAUUUAUUCACUCCAGGGCGUCCGUGUCCCGGCUUGUUGAAGACGUGCCGGGUCCCAGGCGUCAGGAAUGGCGCUCGGUUACAGGAUCACGCAAAGGCUCCCUCAGGCUUAAGAGGAGUUGCCUACGCAGACAAAGUGUAAAAUCUGCGGUCUUUGUGUUGACAGAAAAACUCGCAUGUGAGUGUUUACCCCCAGAAAGUGCUGGCGCUGAACCUUUUGUGUGAACUACGCCUAACCUGAGAAAAUCCCUCUGGAUCUCUGUCACAAUCACACCAGCGAAGAAGCAGCACAUGUGUGUUUUAUGACUAACUGUGUUGCUGUUUGUUUAUGUUACUUAAUAAGAUUUAAAGGUGUGUGUGUGUGACUUCAAACUUACUCACUCCUCCAUCACAGACUCAAACUUCACAACUCGACGUCUUUAUCAGCAUAUGACGUCAUUCCUCCCGAGUUCAUGACCCUCUUAUUAUUCAUUUCCCCCUGAAGGGAUUCCCUGGUCUGGUUUUACCAUCGGUCUGAUGUCCCGGUGUCUGGAACAGCAAAGUUUCCGUCCUGUUUAUUUGGACUCUGACUCGGAGGGAAACCAGGAAGUGGACCAGACACUGAGGAUGAGACUUUACCCAGACAAGAACAGAGAAAAUCUGCUGACGGUCUGAAGAGGAACAGAGAGUUCUGGAGAGCAUAUCAGGGUUUUUUAUGCGCAUACUUUAUUGACUCAUAUGUUAGAUGACCCUUUUUGUAAAAAAAAUGUUUGGAAAACACGUUUUACUUUUAAAGCAAAGUAUUUCAACAGAAAAUAAUAAGCAGGCAUAUGGAAAAAGCAAAGUAAAUCAACGUUUUUGGCUUCUCUUAAAUAUCAGUGGGUUCUUAAAGGGAUAUUCCAGUGUAAAAUUAGUGUAGGGUCAAACACAUCGUAACACUGAUUUAGGCACCCCCUACCGCUUGCUUCUCUAGUUAAACCAACGACCGAACGAUAGCAAUACACAGUGGUCCUAGGAGGGAUACACAAACCUCAACCAAAACGCCACUCUAUAGCCACAAAUAAUGCUCAGAACAGCACCUAACUUCAUCAACAGUACAUAUAGGGUCCCAGCCACAGCACUAGCCACCAAACAUCUUUUUGGUGGGUAGACCGAUUAUUGGCCUUGACCAAUUAUAGGGGCCAGUAAUUGGUAUUUGGCUAAUUAUCUGCACUGGCCUUUAAUUUUAAAGAUGCCUUUUAUUUUUACUGAUUAUAUACUGAUACUUCUAUACUGAGAGCAGACUGUGACUCUGUUUUGGGUUGCCCUUGCUCCUGAUCAGACCUUUUAGGUCUACUGAUCACAGAUACAGCCUCUGAUUGGUCAACAGACCAAAACAAAGAUGGCAGCCUAUGUUUAGUGCAGUCAGCUUACAACAUAAGUAAUACUUUAAAAGGAAAGUUAACACAAAAAUCCUCACAAAUGCCCUGUUUCUUAGAUCCAGACAGUCUGACAGAUAAAUGGAAAUACACUGAUCUUUUCUGUGGGAUAGAAAGCCCCUUAGAGUUUAUCCCCCGAGAGUUGCCAAGGUGGUCUCACAAAGCGAGUGGAUUUUGCAUUAAGUUGUUAUAAGUACAACAAAUCCAACAACUAAGCUGUGCCCCUGAUCAUUCCAACUUUUGUAUGACUGUUAGCCCUGUUUUAAUUGAAAAGAGAUGGAAGCACGCUCUGUUACUCAUACUGUCAACAAUUGACAGGGGUAGCUUUAAAGGUGCUGACCUCACUUUUGGUGAGCUGUAAGGUCAUCCAUCUUUAUGAAAAAUCUGAAGGCCUUGCAAAAACAGAAAGAAAGUAUCACUUAAGCUGAAUCAUAAACAGAAUUUUAAGCACAGAAAGUUCAACAAUUGAUGAAUCAGUAACAUUAAAAAAAGAUAAAAGCAUCCAGAUAAUCAAGACUUAUAACAACUGCUUAUAAUCCUGCUUUAGUCUUAGUGCUGAUAAAAUAACACGGUCUUAAGUGGCUGUAGCUCAGACAAAUAUGAGGAAGCAGAAACAUUAAAAGCUUUUUGAAAGAGAGAUCAAUCUGAAUGAAUCUCAUCCAUCAUGUUUCCAAGUGACCUGAUGCUGCAGCUGGUGAAAGUUAAAGGAGUCAGGAGAGAGCAUAAAUAAUCCAUGUUGAGUUCAUUUAAUGAAAUGAUAUGUAUCAAGAGGUUUGAUGACAGCAGAAAUGAUGGAGCAGCUGCUUCAAACCUUCCACAGAGGGAGCUCAGGUUGAUGAUUUAUAUACUUAAAAGAAAUCCUAUCAUGUGCAUGUGGAGGCAUUUUGUUUUAAUAAAAACCAGAGUCCUGUUCUGAGCAUGUGGCAGAUAAAGAAGCAAAAGGAAACGCACACAUAGCGGCGCGGCUGUGAAUGUGUGCCGGAGCCAAAGCAGAACUGAGAGGAGCUGCUCAAAGGAAAUUUCAAAAUUAGCUUGGCAGACGGAGAGCGUACUAUGGAUCAGAUGUGUGUAUACUGCAGUUUUUAUAUUUACCACUUCAAGACUGUGCGGAUAAAGUGCCAGUUAUCUCUAAUCUCGCCUUCCCUUAACAACCCCCCCCCGCCACACACACACACACACACACACACACUCACACACACAAACACAUACACACACACACACACACACACACACACACACACACACACACACACACACACACGCACCAUCAGCUCAAAGAGAGCAUGCACACUCAGAGGGCAUGAUCUUUUCUCAUGUCACAGCUUGGGGUUCAAACAUUACGUCCACUGAAUGAUAAAGCCUGAUCACCUUUGCACAAGAGUUUGUAGUCUGUGAAUUUUAUUUCUGAUAUUUUUACUUGUGCAAACUAAAAAUGCCUGUGAUAUGUUGUGUCUAGGCUGUGGUGAACUCACCCACCGUUACGACCUUCCAAGUUUUAAAAUCCUAAACAAUUUUUUAAUGUGUGAGACAGCACACAUGACGACAGAUCAUGACAAAUGUGACUUUAUUUUGUCUGUGAUGCGCCCAUUGAGGUUGUAACUUCUGUUUAAGUCUUCUCUCAGUCAGUUUGAUUGUGGUUCGUUUAAUAGGACAUGUUAAAACACUUGUGCUGCUUCUUCAAAUCAACAACGUCCAUUUAACUCCCCAGGAUAUCCAAUCAUGACCACUGAGUAUGUUUUAUCUUUAUUAUUUCAAUCUUGAGUUGGCCCCUGUUGUCUUCCAAGGGAGGAGUAAAAUCACCCAAAGUUUAAAUAAAAACAGACCAACUUUUGCUGGACUCAAAACCUGCUUUAAAUGCAGCUGUAAUAAUGCUCUUGUAGUCUACUACCUGGAUGUAAACAAGCACAGAUGACAAAUUUCUAGGACUUGGGCUUAUAAUUCUACCUCUGUAUUUCCUGUCUCUCUAAAGCUUUCCUUCUAAAAAAAAGUUAAUUCAGCCCCAAAAUAAUCUAAAAAUUGUUUGUGGUGGAUGGCUGCCACCAGUGAGUCUGGUUCUGCUCGAGGUUUCUGCCUUAAAAGAGGACAUUGCUAAGUGCUUGUUCAUGUUCGACUCCUGUUUGGAUCUUUGUAAAAAUAAAAGAACACAGUCCAGACCUGCUCGUUUUGUAAAAUGUCCAGAGAUCAUUUUUAUUAGAAUUUGGUGCUUCAUGAAUUGAUUGAUGAGCCUGAGUUUGGCAGGAUCAUUGAGAGCACAUUCAUCAUUCAUUAGGCUGCAGACUGGAACAGAGAAAGAAGGAGAGGACAGAAUAAAUGAGGGCUGAAUGGAGCCAGGAGACACAGCCGUACAUGUUGACCUGUGGUGCUAACAUCAGUGACCCACACUUUUGACUGACUCACUGUUCUUCAACCACUGUCUCCCUUUUGCCAUCUCCAGAUCACGGCCUGCUGCCUGUGAGCGACGCUCCUCCCUGAAGCUCCUUUCUUCCACCUGACUCACAGAUCCUAAAGGAAACUUUCACGUUCACUGAGCAGGAUGGACAUCGGACAGUCUGCUAAGGAGUCCUGAACCCCUCCUCCAAGUAAGUCAAACCACGGUCAGCGCUGUGCAUGACACCACGGGGCAGCCCUGCAGGCCGCCCUGACCCCAACUCUUUUAUUGUACAGAAGUGAGCAAGAGGUCGUGACACAGCCGAUGGUCACAGAAGUUUAAAGUCUUCCAGGGUUGAAAAAAAGCAGCUUGUCCUUUUCCUGACACUUGAAAGAUCUGAGGAUGUGACUCCGCUGGGAAACAGGACAGUGAAGUCUUUCAGUGUCUGCGCUGAUUUUAUCUGGCUUGAGAGUUAAGAGUUAAGCUCUGAGGUUAAAAAAUUUCUCAGUGACAUGUAAUACAAAAAGUGCCUCCAAAUGAUAGAUGUUCAGAUUUUCCUGCAGCUCAUUUGGAUUGUACUGUGUGUUGCUUUUCCGAGGUGCACUGCCAGGGGCAUGGGCGUAGGUUCAGUGUUUUUCCCUCCAAGAUCAGCAAGAUCUUUUUUCUUAAUUUGCUUUGGCUGCAUUUUAAAUCCUGCAUGUGUCCAUCAUUUAACUGGUAAAUGUCUGCUGUUGACCCUGAUGGUGGAAAUGAUUGCAGUCCAGUAAUCUGUCAAACUUGUUUCAGUAAAUCCAGUUAUUAAAGGCAAAAAAAUAAGAAGAGCAGAAGUUUGGCAAUACUUGCACAGUUGUUUGUGAACUUUAGAUUCCUAAUAAGCUCUCGGUUACAACACCACAAGUCUUGAUGCAAAAUGAAAGUGUAGCUUCUUCAACUUUUUGUUGCGUUUCACAUGUCAUUUUACUGAUGGGAUACUUAAAUGCUUUCAUUUUUCAUUCGCAACCUUUAAAAUUAUUAAAAUUUCCAUCUCAUUUGAUCAGUCAAAAACAAAAAAGAUGGGUGUAAAGAGCAAAUUUGGGACCUUUACUUUCAGCGUCGACAGCUCUGUCAAAACAGAUCAUGUGUAAUUCUUAUUCUAGCCUACAUUACAACAGCUACAAAUUCACAUCAGGGAAUUAAAGGGGAUGUUGAAGUGCCAAAAACUGCUGUUCCCUAAGUGGCCACUAGAGGCUCACUCUAUAAGUGAGUCAAUACCUAUAAGGCCCCCAUCCCACUAAGCCCCCAUUAGGCGUGAAAUAAAGGGUGUCAUUUCCAUAGCUUUGAAAAGUUGGCUGUGCAUCUGGCCAAGCAAUCCAUAAUGUCAAACUCAUUGUUUGAAAAAGGCAGUCUGGAGAAGUCAGCGGAUUCUCAAACGGAUCUCCAUGAAAUCUUGAAUAUCAAUUGCACUGGUAUAUGAGACACAGGCUUGUAUGGGAGUCUCUGUGAGGGGGGAAAGUCUUUGUUAUGAUUUCCAUUAUGUUUUGUUAAGGAAGUCCACAAUGUGCAGUUUUCUAGGCAGCCGUGUAGUUCUUUCUACCACCAUCUGUCUUGCAAUCCUGCUAGCCACCAUUGUAGUUGCCCCAAGGUAAUUUUGUUAAUGCUGCGCUCCAGUUGUGCCCGGAAUUCGGGAUUUCCGAGCGCCGAGUCGGAAAUUCAUCUGGAUGCCCUCCUGAAGUCGGAUUUCUGACUCGGAAAGUCAGACGAUCUUCGCCAACCCCGACUUAACGACAGUGUCAUAAUUCAAGAUGGCAGUGCUGUGCAUCAACAGUAAAGAGUGACAGUAAAAGCUCUCGUAAUUUAUCAUUUAUUAGCACUUCUGUUUUGUUUUUGUGAUGUUAAAUAAGUGGUUUUCGUUGUGCUGCCAAAGGUCUAACUGUGAACACGGUGCUAUGGUGUUUGCAGGGUAAAAUACUGUGUUCUGCAUUGUUAAAAACUGGUAUAGCUAACAACAACUGACAACGGCCAACGACAGCUGAGAAUUGAAAAAAAAACAGCUAACAACGGGUAACUGUAGGCGUCCAUCUUGGUUUUCCGACUUGUUAACUCUAACGCUGUCAACUUGGGUGUAACGUCAUUCCUAGUUCCGACAUCCGACUUCCGAGGUAAAGAGAUACAAAUCUUCAGCCAACAUCGAGACUCACGCCACCCUCCUCUGUUUGAUAUUUACCGACUUUAACUGAGAAGUAUUUAUUAUCAAACCAGAUCUUCACAUGGUUUAUUUACUUUAUAGCAAACCACCAUUUUUUUAAAGACAUGAUUAUGACCUAAUGAGGGAGAGAGGCUGUUAAAAAGUGGCUGCUUGACCGGCUCAACUCAUUGUGCAUCAAACAUGCCCAAUCUAAUAUUGCCUUCAUUACAUUUUAUAUUGGCGUGUUGGACACAGCUCAUUUAUUACACGAUAAAAAAGUAUUAAAAGUGUGUCUGGGACACUGACUUUUAUAGUUUAUUUCACCCUCUGAUAAAAGUCUGUUUGCUGUUUCUUGCAACUAAUCCUGUAGUUAGUGAAAGAGUUAAUCUUUGGUUAAAACAGAGGAACUGGCCUGAACAGCAGUCAGCUAAAUAUAAUCUGCAGUCACACUGAAACUAAAAGUAAAGUUCUUUGGUAUUAUUUACAAGAUCACUCCCAUAAUACCAAGGAACUUCUCUGUUUUUGUUUUUCUUUUGAAACAAGGCGGAGUUUCACUAUUUCAUCUUCAUUUUUACAGCAGACCUCAGAGAUGCAUUUAUAUUCAUGCAGAUGUAUGAUAAACACCGCUGCACUCUGUCAAUGAAGCAGUAAGGCUGAUAAACUUUAACCUCAGAGAAACUGGCACUUAGAGGUUAAAGCAGUGAGUGAAUUCAGCAGGCUGAGUGUCAAGAGAUCAACAUCAUCUAGAGCGGAGAAGAGGAAAACACCAUCAUGUGAUGUUGACGAGGAUGAUAAUGAUGGUGAUGUAAAGCAUGAUGGAUCCCUCUAUUAAUAGACCUGGCAAUAAAGUGACCACAGUCACAAAGCAGAACAGCAGCGCUAUGGAUGAGAGGCCCCAUUAUGUCCAAACGAAGGAGUCAGCCGCAAACAAACCUCAUCUGACUGAGCCUGUCUUUCUCUGUCCCCUUGCUCGGCCGCUCUCCCUGCACUCACCCCGGCUCUUUUUCUGCUGAGUGGGUGUUUGGAGGAGUUGUGAAGGUCAGGGGAAAAGUCUCUGGAGCUCGGGGCUUUGACCUCUGAUUGGCCCUGGCUGCUCUGAGUCACGGAGACGGAGAUGGAGCGCCAACCAAAAGGGCCCCGCGUUGUCCAAAAGCAGACGACGAGUAGGCUGCUACCCACCCAGCUUUGACAAAAGGAGAGUUGUGCAGAGGUGGUGAGACACAAUGGGACGGUUUGAGAGGAGAGAAAGGCUCAAUCCUCGCCAUAAGCACCUAACUGUGAGAGCCUGCCUUGUUUAGAGACAGAAUCUAUAGGGUAAAGAAAUUAAAGGGACUUUCCUCUAUGUUAAACUCUGCAACUUAGUAAAAAUUGAGUCACACUUAAAGCUACUGUGAGGAGUUUUUAGCUUGUUAUAAAACAAAGUGAAAGUGAUCAUGAUGGCCUACAAAAAAACCCCCAAACCAUCAAGAGGAGACUGAUUAUUUGAUACAAUGAUUGUAUCAGCCUUAAAGCCACGCUGCGGGGUAGGUGUCAGAAACGGCUGCAGAUACAGCCUUUUGUCAUUCGUAAUUUCCACACCAGAAAUUCAUCGUGAGUUGCAUCUUAGACAUUCAGGAGCUGUUGAAACAGAAAUGUAUUUUCAAAAGAAACGCGUGUAGUGUUCUGCAGUGAUGUUUCAUAGCAAGGCUGGACUGCCAACUCCAGACCUUGCAUGCAUACACCUGCUUUGAAGGUAUUUUUUCUGGUUUGUUUGCAUGUGUUGUCUUGUGUAAGUUGAGCACAUGCUGUAUUCAAUGAGUCACUUUUUUGGCUCAAGUCAUCAGCUAAUUUUUCCAUUUUUUAAUGACAUUUAGUAACCAGUGUAAAGGGACGCUACUGUAAAGUAAUGGUAUAACUGUUCAUCUAUUUUUUAGCCCAAUAUUAAUCAUUUAUUUUCUUUCCAUCGUCAAUACUUUAUUUUGCGAAAGCCCUAAUUCACAUUAAAUGACAGAUUUGACCCUCAAAAGUCAGCAAGACAAGAUGUUUCGCCAAAACUCAAGCAUAUAGAGGACAAGAUAAGCGAAGACUGCUUUGUCCACAGGGGGCGCCAAAAUCAGCACAAACAAAGUUUUUCAUGGGAGCUGUAAGCAAUUAUCUGCCAAUACUAAGAUCAAUGCUUUGCUGAUAAUGUUGCUUACGCUUCUUUGAAUAAGAAAGGUGAGGUUUUAAUCGAAGAAUCACGACUGAAUAAUCAAUUACAAGGUUUAGUUCACAGGGGGCGCCAAAAUCAAUGCAAACCUGAAGUUUCUCUCUUGUGCUUUAAAAAAAUGUUUGUUCAAAAAUACUUUUGAUCAGUCCCCCUGACAUAAAAUAAACCCCACAAAUUACUAAGAAAAGGUCUUCCAUAUUUUUAUCACAGGGUCAGACAAUAUCUCUCAAUAUAUUUUUGAGCAGAGAGGAAUUUUUCAGACAAUAGAGAACCAAAAAAAAAAAUCUGCUUUUCUCCUUCUUGUCUACUCCUUUCAUGUAGAUGCUCACAUUGUGGUCAAAAUAUUCACUCAUGCAUACUUGUCCCUAAGUGUAUACAUACGUGCUUGUCCACACACACGCACACACACUCAUACUUUGCUUAAUGUUACGGUAAACAGCUCUCUUCCACCCUGAGGGCCUUGCCUUUCCUAAACUCACCCAGGAACCGGAGCAGGUAACACUCAGUCAGUUUUGGCUCCAGUCCACCCCAUCCCGGCUGUUAAAACCGAGUCUGUUGCCAAGCAGCUUGUCCUGCCCUGGAACUCUUUGAAUGUUUGCCCAAAAAAUAUGCAUAACAAAGAAUCAACACUGAAUCCUGGAGCAGUUUUCGGGGCGUUGAGGGGGACUUGUGUAGAAAGAAAAGCAGAAGUCAAAGGAGGAAUUUUUGUUCUUGAAAACACAGAAGAACUCUAAAUCUAAACAGACUAAACAAAGAAAUCAGAUGAUGAGGAUGUGACUAAGAUACCGGCCACGUUUUUUUCUUUUUUUUUUUUCUGAAAAAAACCUGAUAAGUGAAGUGUUGAACUAAUCACCACAUGCCAUUGUUUGGAGCUGAAUCCUCCCCAAAUUCACAGCACUCCUGUUUAUCAUUAAUGUGGUGACUAAGACGGAUUGCUGAGGACAAAAACAAUAUCACAUACGAAUCUAUAACACAUCGUACAUCUGCCUUCACACAUUUGUCUCUCCCACUGGUUCGGGAGUGUUUUUGACGAACAUUUGGCAUGAUGGCACGGUGCCACCUCACGAGUGUUCCCGUAAACACUCACCACUCUGGACCCUAUACUGUCGAGCUGUGCCAAAAUGUCACUGAACCUGUGGUCAACCUCUACCGCAGCGCUGAAUAAAAGCAAAGCCCCAGCAGAGCGGAGCAACAGCAGAAACAGGCAGCUGCUCAGAGAAUAGAAUUUAUAAGGGAGGUGGCAAAGUGGAGGCAUAACACUGCCAGGAACUGUUGUUUUCCUUUGUUUAUUCAUAUUCCCAUGGAUACUGACAAAAAGGCAUAGAUUUAAAAUAGUCCAUCUAAAUGCCAGAGAAUUACCUGACAUGAGGCCAUUAUCAUCAGCCACGGAGACCCUAUAAAAGUGAUGUCAGGCCUCAGCCAACUUUCCAAGUCAUGUCAAGAGGAUUUGCAUUCACUUCUCUGUGACGUUGUAAAAACAUGUUGAGUAACUUCUGCCCUGACAGGAUUAUUCGCUUUAGGCCCAAACAUGAAAACACGGUCUGCUGGAGCAAAUAUCUCCAUAUGUGCAUUUUUCCGACCAGUACAUGUUGUUACAGAGUAUUUUGACUGUUGACUGCCACAGGGAAAGUGUGUUGAGAGCUUUACCUGACCCCCCCUCCCUAGCAAAAGCUGCUUACAUACUCAAUCAAAUUUGAGAACAGUGAAGGUUAAAUAACUAAAGGUGGGGCUGGACUAGUUUCAAGACAUCCAAAUAUGAUCGGGUUGUUUGAUUUGGCAGUUCGUUGAUUUUCAUUAUGCAAAUUCAGAGUGCGCCCUGUAAUAAUGACAGGGUCUACAUUUCCUUCAAAUUAUACCAUUCAAAAAUGAGCUAUUUUUAAAUUACAUCCCUGUAUUUGUGUCAAAGAGAAUAGGAAGGCUAAGUAUGUUCGCAAAUAGGCGUGACGCUAAUCUUUCCUGAAUUGUCAAUAAGUCUGUUGUCACCACAUGUUGCAGCUGACAAUGAAAACCUGUCACAAGUUUUUAGAGAGGUUAAAUCAUCAAGACAAAAGUAGUUUAUUAACUGAAUAACUAUUGUCAGUCAUAAAAGGGAGUGUAGAUAAAAGUAAGAUAAACAGUUGAGACUGAUAACCAAAGAAGGAAAAACACAUCAGAGUUGAAACAGUGAGCUAAAAGUUUGACAGUCAAAAUUAUCAUUAAGUAACUUUUGUUUGUAUAGACAUCACAAAGUGCUUUAUGUCAAAAAGUUAAGAUAAAUAACAAUACAAAUGAAUAAUAACUGAUAAAAAGUACAUGAGAUCAAGAUAAAAGUUAUACAAACCAGCACAGCUAUAACCAAGCACAGUAAAAAAAAAAGGUGAGGAUGGUCAAAACUGUAUAAACUAAAGUCAGUAUGUUUACACGUUGUCCAUAAAAGUUGAUUGAUUGUCUUACUCUGACUGAAACUUAACUUUGAAAAGAUGUAAAUACGUUACUCAGACUCAAGUUCGUUGUAGCUCAUUACAGGACAAUUACAAACAGGAGCUGACAUAGUUCACUGAAAAUAGAAGGGCUGGGAAUAGCUAAUAUCUGAAUAAUUGCUAUAAGUGGAAGUUUUACAGCUGAAAUUGUUAUUUUUAAGAAGUAGCUAAACCCCUGACACAAUUAGCUGAAAAACAGUUAAAGUAGAUAGCUUGUGGUAACUGCAGAUGGUAGAAAAUGACACAAAAUAUGAUGAAAAUAUGAUUAAAAGAUGAGGACUGACUGAGAGGCACCUGAACUUAACACCCCCAACAAGUAGCAGGACGAAUCAUCUAAAAAGCUUGAAUGAUUGCUCUUGUCAAUCACGUUUGUUAUUUCUCCAGCAGAACCUAUUUUAGAUAAAUCAGUGUAAAUGAAGAGACCCUGUAUCACCUAGAGGAGCUCGGUGGUACAUCAGAGAAGAGAAGGUAAGAAAUCCAUAUUGAUCCCCUGCCUGUUUAUUUUUAUUUUUCAGUCGUAUCAUGAGUACUGUUUUCUGGCCUUGCCUCCCCCACACAUCUACAUUUUUGAUGUGUUUCUCAGUAUAAACGACUGUUGAAUAUGAUCAUAGAUUCAAACCUCAGGUGCAGCCGGAGGAUUUACCGCCUGCCUCAGCAAAGCAUCUUACCUGACUCGUUUUUGUCUGUGCUUGGAUAUGGGAUACAUCGGUGGAGGCAUCUGUGUGUGUGGGCGUUGGAAGAAUUACAAACAGGAGACAAAGGUUUCCUUCUCCACUACUGGAACAGGUGCACUAUUGAGGAAUCACAUUUCCCUCUGUUCGAAACACAAAUCCUACAUGUAGAGCGAAAAUAGGUGAACUGUAAUUUUCAUAGAGAGGCCCCAGAGAUCAAAGGGUUGAUUACAUAAUAUUAAUGAAUUAUCCCGGAUCAGACUAUUAACUGGAACACAGUUUCAUGUAUUUCUUAUUUAUGAUCAAAGAGGGGCUGCCUCAGGGUUGGUGGUGUGUGACACUUUGGUGGUAAUUGGGGCAUUUCCAAACACUGAGAUUUUAACUUGAAUUAAAAAAGAUGAGUUCGAUCACUAUACCACAUCAGAAGUUUUAAACAAAAAAGUGAUUUUAAGGUAUAAAAUUUAUGUUCGGGGUAAGCAAGCUAGCUUUGUGGUAAGUUAACUAGAGGUUAGAUUACUUUGAAUUUAGACUCAGGUCAAUUUGAUCCCUACUGCCGACACCUACCCACUCUUACCAGUUUAGGCUUAACAAGGACAAUAAACAAAUGUCCAAUCUUGUUGCUAAUCUACUUGUUUGCUGUUGUACAUUAUGAAAUAGGCAAUAAUAUGGAUUUCAGUGUUUUUCAUAGAUAUCAAAAGACUUUUCGUAUGAGCUUUAAAAUUUAUUUUAACAUAAUUUAUUCAAUUUACUGCCUCCAACUAUAACAGGUUCCUAGUUUUGUGUAAAAUUGAAUUUGAGUAUAUGUUGUACCUUAAAUCUAGAUGUAGCUGAACCAUGUACAAAAUAAAUCUUAAAGCUCCUGUGAGAAACUUUUGAUGUGAUCUGUAUUGAUUAUGAACAUAGUCUUCACUGAUUCUAUCCUGUACAUGCGUGAACAGUUUUCUUUUUUACUAAAAAUUCAUCUUAACGUACUUUCAAUAGUCCGAUUUGUUUAUUUAGUAAUAACCUGUCCCAUGAAACAGAUUACUUGUUUUCUUACUCAGUCUGACCCCUACCCACCUGCCUGUUUAUUCGGGCAUUAAAAUUGUUUGUGUAGAAAUAGUCUCUAAAUUUACUUUUGUAGGUCAAGAAAUGACAUUAAUAUUCAUUUUAGCCUGUUACAUGACUGGCCCAAAUCUUCUUACAGAUCUAACAUUGUCAGACACCAGAUACUAGAUGCGUUUACAUUAUGGUACGCUUUUGUAAUUAUAAAAGAAUGAAAUUAUGAAAUAUUUCAUGUUGUUACAAAGUCAAGGAAGAAAUUUCAACACAGACUUCUUUGAUUAAAAUGAGUAAUUGCAUUUUUCUUACUACGUGAAGCACUAUGAAUUUGCUAUAAGUGCUCUCUUAGGUAUAUGUUUCAAUCAGUAAAGAAAACAAGUAUAAUCCACAUUAUCUGUGGGUUAUGAAGGAAAAUGUGAAACUUCCACAUUGCCUCCAGUUGUCCACAGACAUCCUCUCAUGUCUUCUCCUCCCUGCUGGGACAGAAAGUCCCUCACUAACUUGCUCAUGGUUGGAGUUUAGACAGGAGCAGGAUUGCUGCUGGAAUGAGGCCCGGUUUGGGCGUGGCUUUCCGGUUCUCCCGGAGAGGAACUUCGACGUCACGAUGCCCAUAUAAGGUCAGAUAA